rnacentral:lncRNA from 1 species
AUGAUAUGAGUGAGGCUUCCUUUUGUAAACCAAGAUAUGAUAGGGGCAGUUCAUCGGUCGAAGCUGAUAAAGUUCAUCCUCAACAUUCAUUUGAUCAUACAUAUUCUCCUUGUAGUAAUCCAGAUGACCACUUAUCUGCCAAAGGUUCGCCUUUGCAACAUGUGGAGUAUACAGCAGAUCGUAACCACGUUCUAUGUGGAUCUUUUUCCACAAAUCUUCCAUUACAUGCCUCACAAUAGUACCCUUUGGAUGCGAGAACACUAAACCCCCACCAGCAUCAUUCUGUGAAAAUUCAACAAUGAAAAUGUUCAAUGCAAGAAUCCUCAUAAUUACAAAUAAUGGGAUUGCUAACUGAUAAAUCUGCGUAAACAGCAGAAAGAGAUUCAGGGCAAUUCUGAGUACCUGUAUAGAAAACAGGUCAAGAACUUGACCAAGGCGCCUGUGAUCUCGACGUUUAGCUUUCUCAUUGAAAUGCCUUCAAUUGAUCUUCACUCUCCCAUGCAGUGCCAAAGAUCCUCUGCAGCAUCGGUUUCUUUUCAUCUCCUCUCCAGUAGGCACCAGCAAUAGACUCAAGUUAGACAACUUUUCUGUUAAUACUUCCAGUUUUUUCAACAUGGGGCCCCGCACAUAGGUCCCACCAUUCAUCACCUAUGAAGAAUUCGGCAUACUAUGAAUGUGUGGGAUUUGAUCGAAUAGGACAUGGAAAAAUGGGUGUACAGCAGUAGAUAUGCUGCGAAAAUUUUCGUCCUGCUUUUGGGAAUGUGAGAAGAUACAUGGGUUUCUAUAUUUUGAUAAGGUGUUGAGGUCGAGCUAUGUUCAUUUUUUUUCUGAAUUUCCUUGUAGUUUGGUAUUAAUGGCGCCUUUUUUUUUUGGAAGACGGGAUUAUAUAUCAUCCGGGCAAAGAUGUCAAAGGAAUACAAGGAGGCAAACAACCAAUACAAGGAAAGGGUAGAGCAAGGAGGUAACAAGAACUAAGACACCGCACCUAGUGCUACAGCGUCCUUCCUCGCACUACCAACACAAUUAAUGCGGACAGGGAAGUCCGUCAUUACACAAAACAUGAACAAGGGAGGAUGGGGGUCUAUCGACCCACGUAAAAUCACAUACCUCCUUACAACGCCGCGAAGCCAAAAGGUCCGCUGCCACAUUGGUCGACCUUGGAACCCAAGACCAGCGGCAAUCUUGAAAGCCACUUCCCAUAAUACUACAUCUCGCAAUAAUCGGGAAGGCUUCCCAGCUGCCCUUCCUUGUUGCGUCCUUCAAACAAGAAAUAGACUCCAGAGAAUCAGACUCCACCAUUAUCAAGUUCCACCCUCUGUUCAUACCCAGCUUACAUCUAUGCAAGAUAGCUUUCGCCUCCAUCAAUGCCACGCUUGUGGCUUUCUCUUUGAACCUGCAGGCAGCCAAGAACCUGCCCUCCUCAUCUCGAGCCACAGCUCCCGUAAAAUCCAGGCCGUCCGAUGCGCACCAGCUGGCAUCCACGUUAAUCUUCACGAAACCCCCACUUGGAGGAGACCAACCAGCGGCAAAGCUAGAUUCCAUAGGAAUGGCAACCUCGGGGUUGGGUUGGAUUGACCAGGCAUCCCUGAACGUUGUUGUCGAGUGAGAAAUAGCGGCAAGAACCUGUGAAGUUUUCCCUCACCAAAUCCCACACAGCCGGCGAUCCUACACAGCGAUUAUCAACGUGUGGAUGGCAAAAUCGAAAAGUCCAAUUUGAACGGAAAUUCCAGCCCAAAGACCCAAAACCCUUUCUGAAGCCCAGAGGCAAUUUGCAAAUAACGUUAAAUCAGGGGGCAGAGAGACUCAGUGGCAAUUUCGUAAAUAAACUGAAAUAUACCCCAAGAUUGCACAGUGCCACCUCCCCCUACUUUAGACUAAAGUAAUUAUAAUUUUCUGACAGACAAAAUUCAUAUUACAUAAUUUUUCAUUUUUUUUCAAAUAUUAUAUAGAAAUGUAUAUGGCUACAACUUUUUAUCUAAUUAUUUGUUAUUUUUGGAUUAAUUUGCAAUUUUAGGUUUAUAUGUUACUGAUUUUGUUUGUCUAUCUCUAAAAUUCAUCUUCACUCCCUAACAAAAAAAAAACACUAUCUUAAUUUAAGAAUAACAGAUGUCGAAGAAAACAUACAAAAUCACAAUAAAACAAUUAGCAUUUAAAUAGGAAAAGAAGGAAAAGAAGGAUUCCGAUAUUUAUUUCAUUCCCUAAGAAAAGCUUCAAGGUAAAAAAUCACCGAAUUUUAAAGCUGAAUCCGACACAUUUCCUAGUGUUUUUAACUGUUAGACAUAAAACCUUAGAUCUCAAAACCAACAGUUUUCAUUCGUUCAAAAAGAAUAAACAAACAACCAAUACAAAACCAUGGACUUUAUUAUCUUCAAUGUUCAAAAACUCUCAAAACUUUUUAAGUUCGAAGCCCUUUUUUUUACUGAGGGAUCAUUUUAAAUUAAAAAAUUAUGCAAAGAAUCUUUGGCUAGUCCAAUCGAAUUGUAGACUGAACGAAUAACUAGAUUAAUGGAAAAAAUUGCAAAGCCAAUAUCCAAACUCAUAAUCUAUAUUUCAUCAAACUGUGAGCAUCAUCGUUCUCAGGUUUGAGAUUGGAAGAUGGUGAUGUUCGUAAACUUGUAGAGGAGAAGAGCUAACCAACGAGUGAGACAUUAUUUACACCAUGCAUCCAUUGACACAUGGACCCGUGAGGUGUACAAUGGUGUGCAAUGCAAGGAAAGAGACAAAGUAUGCAUACUAUUGAGAAAUUUUUCAGUAUGCUGAAAAUACAGCUCAGUACACCAAGUUUCAUAAUAUAAUUAGUUGAUUUUUUUUUUAAAUUUCCAAUCAAUUGUAUUAUUACACUUGAUGUAUCGAAAUGUGUUUCCGAUACACAGAAAAAUUUCUAGCAUACUACUUCCAUAGACCCUGCAACAAAUGGCAAAGCAGCAAAUACUCACCAAGAAAGAGGUCAAACUUGGUAAUUUACCCCAUGAAAGUAUGCCAUUUUCUCAGUUGGCAAAAAUUCUAGGAUAAUACUUUGUACUCACUAGAAUACUGAAUACCCUAUAUAAUCAUUUUUCAAUUUUUUUUUAUAUAAAAAAAGAGGGACAACUGGUGGCAAGUUAUGGUUAACCACCCCUUUUGGGCGUCGGGAAAAUUCACAGAGGCAUUUCAGCCUCCCCUUGGCCAUAAGUAUGGCUUCCACACCAGCAGCGGGUUUCGAACCCGAGACUUGCAGUUUUUAGUUUCAAUUUUGAGUUAAUAAUAUUUUAAUACAUAUUUUAUUAUUUUAAAAAAUAAUAGACAUAUUAUUUAAUUUGUCUUGAGCUUUAAAAACAAAGUAUCUUUUCAUUGGCGUGAACCGAAUGUGAUGUUUAUGGGUAGUUUGGUAACCAAAGUGGUGUUCUUUGAAAAAAAAAUUAAAACUAAAUUGUUUUAGUGAGAUGUCGAUAAAAACUAGGGUGAACCGAACGUACAUGCUUUUCGUUGUGAGAAAAAAAUUGUGUGGAGUUUAGUUGUCAUUAGGGAUGGGCAAUGGUUAUGGCGGGCGGGUAACCGCGGUUAUUUACCCAUAACCGUUCAUGCUCAUACCCGCAUAACCGUUUACCCGUUGGGUAAUUGCCUAAAUGGUUAUACACAUACCCAUAACCAUUUAUAAACGGUUAACCAUACCCAUAACCGCAUACCCAUUUAACCGUAACCGUUUAAUACCCGUUUACCCAUUUACGAUUUUUAACCCGUUUAUCUUUUUUUUUUUUUUUUACCAUUACCCAUUUUUCACCCGUCUACAUGUUUUUUAAGAACUUGAAAAUUUAAAAAAAAAUUGUCAUAAUUUUUUUUUUUUUACAAUUAAACACCGUUAUAGGUACAUUCAUCAUGCAUUUUCGUAUUUUAAUUUUUUAAAUCCUUAUACCAUUCCAAUAAUGGAAAUAAUUGCCGACAAAGACACAACGAGCACUCUUACGUCGGUUAUUUAUAUGCCAACGUAACGAGAGCAAUCCAUUUUCCAAUCUCUCCCCUAGAAAAAUAAAGAUUUUUAGGGAAUAGAACGAACCAAAAACACCGACAACAGGAAAUAUAUAACUUGUACAAUAACUAUGUGUAGAAAAUAACCCAAAGAUGUUGAACAAUAUUGAAGGAAGGGUAAAGAAAAUGUAGGGGGAUCAAUAGCCUUGUAAGAAUGUUCGAUUUCCAGUUUGUUCGAUCCAAGAUCAACAUAUAGCUACAGUAAACACAGAAACAAAUCUAAUGCAUGCAUACUGCAAGGGAAAUGAUUUCAGUGCGCUCCCAUUUUUUUUCUCACUUAAAUUUCUUUUGAUUUAUUCAAUUUAAGGAUAGAAAUACUGCACGGAUUAUCGUUUAUUACUUUUUAAUUAAUUAAAACAUCGCUAUAAAUCACAUUAUAGUCAAUAGCAUUGAUCUAAGUUUUGUCCAAUAGGGAACAUGGUUUGUGCUAAUUUUACAUAUAUAAAAUAAAUGGGUAAACGGUUACCCGUUUAUAACCGCGGUUAAUACCCAUAACCGCCCAUUUAAAUUUCGCAGGUAAACGGUUAUACCCAUAACCGUUUAUUUAUCUAAACGGUUACCCCAUAACCGUAACCGUUUAAUUUAAAUGGGCGGUUAACCGCGGUUACCCAUAACCAAUGGGUAUUUGCCCAUCCCUAAUUAUCAUUAAAUUUUGCCAAGUGACACUAGAACUCAGUUAAAACUCGACAUAUAGUAAGUUUUUAAAGUAUUGUCAACUAUUCUAAAUGUAUGAACAAUGAAUGAGCGAAGAAGAAGCUCUUAGAGAAAAAUAUGAGAGAAUAUGAAGUUUUGUAUAUAUUUUCAGAUGCCAUAAAUGGCAGUUUACAUUUGGUUUUAUAUAGAUGAAUUGAUAAGCUCAAUUACAAUAAUACCCUCCAACAAUUCUAACCAAUCUUACCCUUAUAACUACCUUAAGAUCAAGAGCGACUGAAGCAGAGGCUUGUGAGAGACAAGUUGAAACAGAAAGAAAAGUCGAGACGUUGUAGUUGAAGCAGACCUUUCGAUGAUGAUGGACACGUAACCAUCCCCUCACAAAAUCCUACACAGCCGGAGAUCCUACACAGUGAUAUUCCAGCCUAACAACCCAAAACCCUUUUUGAAGCCUAGUGGCAAUUUUGCAAAUAACGUUAAAUCGGGGGGCAGAGAGACUCAGUGGCAAUUUCGUAAAUAAACUGAAAUGUACCCCAAAAUUGCACAGUGCCACCUCCCCCUACUUUAAACUAAAGUAAUUAUAAUGCUAUGACAGACAAAUUCAUAUUACAUAAUUUUUCAUUUUUUUUCAAAAAUUCAUAUUACAUUUCCUAGUGUUUUUAACUGUUAGACAUAAAACCUUAGAUCUCAAAGUCAACAGUUUUCAUUCGUUCAAAAAGAAUAAACAAACAACCAGUACAAAACCAUGGACUUUAUUAUCUUCAAUGUUCAAAAACUCUCAAAACUUUUUAAGUUCGAAGCCCUCUUUUUACUGAGGGGUCCAAUUAAAUUAAAAAAUUAUGCAAAGAAUCUUUGGCAAGUCCAACCGAAUUGUAGACUGAACGAAUAACUAGAUUAAUGGAAAAAAUCGCAAAGCCAAUAUCCAAACUCAUAAUCUAUAUUUCAUCAAACUGUGAGCAUCAUCGUUCUCGGGUUUGAGAUUGGAAGAUGGUGAUGUUCGUAAACUUGUAGAGGAGAAGAGCUAACCAACGAGUGAGACAUUAUUUACACCAUGCAUCCAUUGACACAUGGACUCGUGAGGUGUACAAUGGUGUGCAGUGCAGGGAAAGAGACAAAGUAUGCAUACUAUUGAGAAAUUUUUCAGUAUGCUGAAAAUACAGCUUAGUACACCAAGUGUCAUAAUAUAAUUAGUUGAUUUUUUUUCUUUAAAUUUCCAAUCAAUUGUAUUAUUACACUUGAUGUAUCGAAAUGUGUUUCCGAUACACAGAAAAAUUUCUAGCAUACUACUUCCAUAGACCCUGCAACAAAUGGCAAAGCAGCAAAUACUCACCAAGAAAGAGGUCAAACUUGGUAAUUUACCCCAUGAAAGUAUGCCAUUUUCUCAGUUGGCAAAAAUUCUAGGAUAAUACUUUGUACUCACUAGAAUACUAAAUACCUUAUAUAAUCAUUUUUCAAUUUUUUUAAUAAAACAAGAGGAACAACUGGUGGCAAGUCAUGGUUAUCCACCCCUUUUGGGCGCCGGGAAGACUCACAGAGGCAUUUCAGCCUCCCCCUGGCCAUAAGUUUGGCUUCCACACCAGCAGCGGGUUUUGAACCCGAGACCUGCAGUUUUUAGUUUCAAUUUUGAGUUAAUAAUAUUUUAAUACAUAUUUUAUUAUUUUAAAAAAUAAUAGACAUAUGAUUUAAUUUGUCUUGAGCUUUAAAAACAAAGUAUCUUUUCAUUGGGGUGAACGGAAUAUGUUUAUGGGUAAUUUGGUAACAAAAGUGGUGUUCUUUUAAAAAAAUUAAAACGAAAUUUUUUUAGUGAGAUGUCAAUAAAAACUAGGGUGAACCGAACGUACAUGCUCUUCGUUGUGAGAAAAAAAUUGUUUGGAGUUCAGCUACCAUUUGAUUUUGCUAAGUGACACUAGAAUUCAGUUAAACUCGACACAUAGUAAGUUUUUAAAAUAUAAUAUCUUAUGACGCAACAUGAAGCAAUGAAAGGGUUACUAGCGUAAUCCCUUGUAGAACAAAGUUACUGUAAUCCACCAGUUUGAUAGAAAUCCCAAAGGAUAAUUUGAUUAAUUGAUUGAAAGAUGAAAAGAUGAUUACAAAGCCAUGGCUUAAAUAAGCCUUUUACAACCUUUUGGAAAUAACUAACAUAUAAUAAAGUCCUUAAAACCCCAAAAGACUCUAUUCAUUAGUAGGCUGCUGUUCUGAUUACUUUAUACAAAAGAUGGCUCAAGCCACUUUUGUGGGAAAAUUAUUUUAACAAGUUUUUGCGAAAAGUGGCUCAAGCCACUUUUAUGGGAAAUUAACACCUCUUUUAUGAUUGCGCCCUUUUGUCUUCCGACGUUCCAUCUCCUCCCCGAUCCAUUCCGCCAUUUGUUCUACAUCAGUCCCUUCCACUUCAGAAGAACUCGACCCCGAGUUAUGAUCAGGAUAAAGAACUUCAUCAUCAUUGAAUGUAUACAAAUCAGCAACGUUGAAAGUAUUGAAAUUCCCAUAGACUCCGGCAAAUCAAUAACAUAGGCAUUGUCAUUAAUUCGCUUGAUAACUUUGAAUGGACCAUACUUUCAUGGCUUUAACUUGCUGUAAGUUCCAACAGGGAAUCAUUCUCUUCUCAAGAACACCAUGAUAGAAUCUCCUUCCUUAAACACUUUACACGCCGAUGUUUGUCCACUGCUUACUUAUACUUAACAUUGGUUUGUUCAAGCCGUUGCUUGACCUCAUCACGAAUUGCCACCACAUCUUCAGCCAUAUUUUAUGCAGCAAUGCUAAGUCCAUGUCCCCUAGGUAGCUUCACCAAAUCCACCACGUGAUGAGGAGUGGCAGUGUAAACAAUGGAAAAUGGUGACUUACCCGUAGCACGAUGCAUGGCACUAUUAUAAGCAAACUUCAUCUGAGGCAGGACAUAGUCCCAUUGUUUUGGCUUUUCUCCACAAAUGUUUCGAACCAUGUUACCAAGAGUCCUAUUUGUGACCUCCGUUUGUCCAUCAGUUUGGGGAUGUGCAAUAGUACUUCGCUUCAAAGUAGUCCCAAACAUUCUCCAUAAUGUAAUCCAGAAAUGACUCAAGAACUUGGUGUCUCGAUCAGAAGUGGUGGACUUAGGUACCCCAUGCAAUCGAACAACCUCCUUGAAAAACAGUUUGGCUAUGUUGGAUGCAUCAGCGGUCUUUUUGCAAGCAAUGAAAUGAGCCAUUUUGGAGAACCUGUCAACCACCACGAAAACUGAAUCCAUUCCCCCUUGCAUUCGGGGUAGUUCGAGCACAAAAUCCAUAGCAAUGUCCUUCCAAAUGUCGUUAGGAACGGGUAAAGGCAUGUAAAGGCCCGUAUUUUGGACUUGCCUUUUUGAAACCUGACAAGUGUAACACUUCCUCACAAUGGCUCCAACAUCUCGUUUCAAUUGUGGCCAAAAGUACCUCUCUUCUAAACUUGCUAUAGUUUUAUCACGACCAAGAUGACCGCUUAGUCCUCCUCCAUGCAAAUCUCGAAUAAGCUUUUCUUGCAAGGAAGAGACAGGAACACAUAAUUGGUUACCUUUGAACAGAAAACCUUCGUUGAUAAAGUAAUCUGACAUAGGUUCAUGAUUAAUGCAUUUCUUCCAUAUUUCCUGAAAAUCAUCAUCGGUUGCAUACAACUCCUUUAAGCACUUGAAACCCACAACUUCUUGGGAAAGAGUGAUUAGCAAUGAUGCUCGUCUACUCAAGGCAUCGACAACCCGAUUUUGAGCUCUAGAUUUGUGCUUGAUAACAAAUGGAAAUUUUUGCAAGAACGUUACUCAUUUGAUAUGCAUUUUAUUAACAUGCUUCUGAUUGUUAAUAAACUUCAAGGCUUGAUGAUCCGUGAAUAGCACAAAUUCUUUCUGAAUGAGAUAAUGUUCCCAUUGUUUUAAAGCUCGAAUCACCACAUAAAACUCAUAAUCAUAAAUGCUCCAUUUUUGACGGGCUUCACUUAGCUUUUCAAAGAAAAAAGUUAUAGGUAUCUUCUCUUGGGAAAGGACAGCACCCACUCCCACUCCACUUGCAUCACAUUCGACUUCGAAUACUUUCUCAAAAUUUGGAAGAGCUAACACCGAAGCUGUACAAAGCUUCUCUUUGAUCAAAACAAAGUUUUGUUCUUGUUCAUCCCCAACGGAACUUGCCUUUCUUCACCCAUCCAAGUGAGUAUGGGGAGACAUGAGGUUUCGUUGGUAGCUGUAAAUGCUCCACCACUUUCUUGGCCACAAAAUUUUCACAACUUCCAUUGUCUACUAUCACUUUGCAAACUUUGCUGUUAAUGGAGCAAAGAGAACGAAAAAUGCAGUGUCGUUGCCCAUCCUCUUUUGGUGCUAAAAGAACUCGCUGCAACACCAAAGCGAGGUGAUCCAUUCCUUCUUCAGUUGUGAAUUCAACGUCUUCAUAGUCAUCAUCACCAACUUCUUCUUCCCUAUAAUCUUCUUCUUGGUUCCCUUCAGCAUCCAACAAGUUGGCUUGUCUCCAUUCAGGACAAACGUUAGAUCGAUGCCCAAUUUUGUUGCAACGAUAACAAAUGUCUCUUAUAGGCUUGGCAUACGGAUUCUCCCUUGGAGGUUGGUUUCUAUUCUGCCCCUUGUUAAAAGUUCUGCUACUCCCUUCAUUUGAUGCUCGAGAAGGAAAACUUGAAGGUUUCAAUCCUCCCGAACUUUGUGGCACAGAUUUUCCUUUGUCGGUGGACGAGACAACAGGGUUUUCAAAAUGCUCCGUCACGUUCCCCCGGAAAGAGGUUUGUCGCCUUUCUUUCUCUAUUAUCUCCGCCUUCAAGGCCAUGUUAAUGGCCUCUUGCAAACUCCACAGAUUUUGCAGCCCAAUCUUUUCUUGAAUGGAGGGUUUCAAUCCAUUCACGAACCUCGCAACCCUUUGAUUUUCUGUCUCCAUCAGAUUGUUUCGCUCCGUAAGUCUCAUGAAAUCAUCCGUAUAAUCAGUCACGUUUCUAUUGCCUUGGACGCAGCUGAUGUAUAUACGGUAUAAAAGAUGUUCAUAAUCCGCAGGUAAGAAACGAUCCAUCAAAAGUUGCUUCAUUUUUCUCCAAGUGCGGAUUCGAUUCUUUCCUUGCCUCUGCCGGGUAUUUUGUAAUUGAUCCCACCAAACAGCGACAGUUGCUUUGAGACGGAAGGCCACCAUCUUCACCAUUUUUGUCUCGGGAAGCUCCAUGACAUCAAAGAAUCUUUCUACUUCAACUAGCCAAUCCAGGAAAUCUUCGAUUUUAAGGUUUCCCGCAAAAAUUGGAAUGUCGGCCUUAAUCUGAAAGUCAUCAAAGUUAUUGUGGUUUUGAUGAUUUGGAUGGUUAGCCGGGUGUGGUUCCACAUCUUCAUCUUCGAACUCCGAUUCGCUGUCUUGAACACGGACCCUAGGAACUCUCAGAUUAUUGACUCCAGCAGUUAUAUGAUUAUUUGGACUAAUGGCUUGGACCAACAUCUCACGAAGUUCUCCAAUUUGAGUAGUCAAGUUUGUAAUCUGUUCAGCUUGAGCAUCCAAGUCUGCUCGAGUGAUAGGGGCAGGUUCACGAUCACGAUCACCCAUGGAUAGAUAGGGUAAACAACGAUGCCAAGACGGGAGAAACCCGCUUUGGUACCAAUUGAAGUAGCACGAAGCAAUGAAAGGGUUACCAGCGUAAUCCCUUGUAGAACAAAGUUACUGUAAUCCACCAGUUUGAUAGAAAUCCCAAAGGAUAAUUUGAUUAAUUGAUUGAAAGAUGAAAAGAUGAUUACAAAGCCAUGGCUUAAAUAAGCCUUUUACAACCUUUUGGAAAAACUCAAAAGACUUAGGAAUUUAAAAUGGAAAUAACUAACAUAUAAUAAAGCCCUUGAAACCCCAAAAGACUCUAUUCAUUAGUAGGCUGCUGUUCUGAUUACUUUCUGCAAAAGAUGGCUCAAGCCACUUUUGUGGGAAAAUUAUUUUAACAAGUUUCUGCAAAAAGCCACUUUUAUGGGAAAUUAACACCUCUUUUAUGAUUGCGCCCUUUUGUCUUCCGACGUUCCAUCUCCUCCUCGAUUAAUUCCGCCAUUUGUUCUACACCAUCUUAUCAUUCUUCUAUUUUAAAUUUUUUAUAAUUAUCUUUUUUACUAAUAAUAUACACCAUGAGAUUAAUCUAACCGUUCAUAUUUUUUUUCUCUCAUUUCUUCUAUUUUUCCUUCUCUCUGCCGUUGCAGUCUUCUUCCUAGUUUCUUUCCUUGCUUCAUUAAGGACACGAGGAAAAGAAAAGCCAAUUUCUCCAACUAUAAUGGAAUGAAAAGAAAGAAAAAAAAUCAAUUUCAGAAACAUAGUUAAAAUCAUCUUGAUCCCCAACUGCAUCUUAAUUGAGAAAAUCCACCCACGAUCUAAAUUUGAGGCUACUGCUCGUCAAGGUAGAAGAAAAGAAAAGGAAAACAAACUUACAUACAAUUUAAUAUAUUUUUGUGAUAUUCAAUUUUGUCCUUAGUCAAAGUAGAUACUGUAAUUCAUUUUUAUUGAUGAAAUAUUAGCAUUGUGGAUGCUUUUUGUUUACAUUCAUAUUCUUAUGAAGAAGGGAAAGAAACAUACAUGCACAACCAUUCAUAUUUGCUGAACACGAGAAAAACUUUGUAGUAGGAUUUAAGUGCUAUAUUUUAUAUUUUGAUUUCAUUUUUUUCUAAUUUUCCUGUGUAAUAUACUACAUGAUUUUCAAGACUAUGCAAAGCUCUAAUUAAAUUUAUAUCUGAUAUGAUUUUCAUGGUGUAUAUGAAUUAGUAGUAGAUGAUCCUAAUUAAUUUAUAGUUAAUUAGUAGAAAAGAUAAUUAUGAAAAAUUAAAAUAGAAGAAUGAUAAAAUAGUAUUAUAUUUAUAAUAGAAUAAUGAUAAAAAAUGGAUGUAGCGCCACUCAGCAAAGUCCAGUAAUAAGCUGAGCUCCACACAAGUUUUUUUGACUUGUUUUACUGACAUUACUAAUAUAUAGAAAAAGUUGUCAAGAAAGAGAAGCAAUGUUAAAAUGAAAUUUUUAUGAAAAAAGGAUUGGACUAAGUUUAUUUUAACCAAAAACAAUAACUUUAUUUAAUGAAAAAACUUAAUUUUAAUGAAAAAAAAUUUAAAUUUUAAUCAAAAUGACAAAAGAACUCAAAUUUUAAUGAAAAAGACAUAAUUUUAAUAUUAAAAAAACUUACGUACCUCCGCGUGUCCUCAGAAAUAAUGUUUAUGAAACUUACUACAUUGUUUAUGAAACUAAACGGUACUACACUGUUUAUGAAACUUAUUAUACUGUUUAUGAAACUUAACGGUAUUACACUAUUUAUGAAAUGUAACAGUACUGCUGUGUAUAUAUGUAUGUUAAUUCUUUUGUCUUAAGUAGGCACAAGUGAAAUCUACAUACAUUACUUUUACUUAUAUUAUUUAUUAUAUACAUGAAUAUACACCUUAUGAGAUUAUAGUACCAAACGUGUUUGUGUUAUCUUGCUCUGUCAAAGGCCUAAAAAUUGUACCAAACGUGUUUGUGUUAUCUUGCUCUGUCAAAGGCCUAAAAAUUGGUGUCAUUGUUGUUACAGUUAGCUAAUUCAUACAUAAUAUAAUAUAUAUGUGUAUUUUCAUGUACUUUUUCUUAUUUAGUUAUAUUUCAAGGGGUGAAGAGAGGGGAUUGGGGGGACGCGAUAGGCACACAUAUUUAUAUUUUAUGUUUUUUUCAUCAUUAAAUAAAAUUAUUAGUUGAUUUUUAAUUAAAAUGCAAAAUUUUGAAACUAUUUUCAUUAAAUUUCAUAUGUUAUAGAAUGCGCAGAGUUUACAAUCUAAUUCCUCGAAACAUAACAACUAACCUAUAAUUUGUAAAACCAGGCACUGAGCAAACCCCGUUUAUUUUUAUUCAAAUUUUCAGUAACUACAAACAAGAAACAAAAUAAAAAAGAAUGAAAACUAUCGCACAAAUGAGUAGUGACCUUAAUCUGCUGCACAUGGUACAAACAACGGAGAUCAUACAUCAUGAAGAUUCAACUUCCUCAACGUUUGCCGUUCGCCUUUGUCUUAAAGGAGGGCUUGAGUAUUCCAUGCCGGUAUCUGAUGACGAGAUAUUGGAUGGCACUGAGGACUCCGGGAAUGAGCUUGUUACUGGAUUUGGCUGAGGUGUUUCAUUUCUAUAACUCUGAGAAGAAAGAGAACUAGCCGCCUUUGUGCUUCCGGUGUUUGAUUCCCCUGAGCUUCUUCUGCGAGUUUUCUUAGAAGAUUCAUGACGGUUGGAAGAAACCUUGAUGAGAUAGACAGUAUUCCGGACAGCUGGUAAAAACAAAUAACGGAAACUAGAAUUAGAAACUGCUUCAAUCAAGAAAAUUAGAAUUUGAUGAGAAACUGUAACCAAAAAGGCCAGCCCCGAGUGAGGUCUCUAUCAAAUUAGGACCACCAGCUGUUGUAUUCCACGUUCAAUCCCAAUUUUACACUCUACUAAGUGAGACAUAAAAAACUCAGUUUUAUACUUACAGCGCCAUGCUGGAACUGUCCUGUAAUGUCCAUCUGUACCCAUAAGGCCUUUGAAAGUAAAAAUCCAACAAAUAGAACCAUGAGGUAGAGAGGGUUCCUGUUUCAUUUGAAGAAAAAAGGCACAGUGAUUAACAGAUGUGCAAGACAUUAGCGUCUGGACACUUAAAAAUGUCCAAAACCUAAAACUCGCAAAAGGAAACAAAAAAGAACGAAAGUAAUUACUUUAAAAGCAUCAUAAAUUCGUUAAAACCAAGAAUGAUCAUCGCCAUUAUAGCCCAUGGAGGAGGUAACCAGUUGUUACUCCGCUUGUGAGCCUCCUGAAAGUACAAAAGCAAACAACAUCAUGAUCGAGCAGAGCUAUAAGCAUAAAGAUAGGGAGCUCGUUACAAAAAUAGUAAUAGGAUGCUAGGAUUUUUCUUUGUAGAAAAAACAAGAAUACACUGAACUUGAUUAUAAGUCGGUCCUAUCUGACUAAACCAUUCCCAAGUCAAGAAUCAGCGCGAUUUUCAAUAUGAAAUGUUUCCAUAUGUUUGGUUUCACUACUAAACUAAAUCCAAUUUACACAAGAACUCCCACCCAAAAUGUCAUCCGAGGACAAUGCAUGCGUCCUAUUUCCACGUUCCUCCCACCAGUUGUUCAUUACUUUUGCAGGAACAUGUUCCAAUAUUCAUAUUUUCAUAACCAAAUCUUUAAAGAACAUUUUAUAAAAGACAAAAUUCAUUUAUUCGAGAUGCAACUCUGAUUAAACGAUAUAAAAACAAUUACACUACUAAAGUUAAACUUAAGUAUACCUGUGCCGAAAUAGCUUGAGUGACGAUAUAUUCGGUCUCUGCUUUGAACUGCUUUGACAAUGACUUGCACUGUACUGGGGUAAUUAAGGUAUCCUUUGAAGAAACAUAGUUUAGAGUUAACCUUAAUAAGAAGGGAGUCUCAUCAUAGAAAAAUUUUACAUAAAAACCAAACCCAUAAAUAAAUGGUACCUCUUGCCAAGAGCUUGAGGCAAGAGGAUCUGUAGGAGGUCCUAGUUUCCUAUUUUGUGAAGAUGAAACAGUAACAGUCCUGUCCACCAGAGAAGAAACUAGGACAUUUUCAAUAUUAUCUGGCUUCUCAUCCAAGCGAAUGGCAGCCAUGGUCAACAAAAGCUUCAGAGACUGCAAGAAAGAGAUGAUCAAACAACUAAAACAUCACUUUAAGUCAGAAAGAUAGAUAACAUGUACUUCCACAAAAGUUCCCAAUGAUUACCGCAGUUCGUGCAUCCUUGGUAAUACUUCUAAUGUCUUCGUUCCCAGUUCAAACCCUAGGCAUUGAAUCGCUGUCAUAAUUGAAGACUACGGCAAACCUGAGAAAUGACAACAGAAGUGAUCAGCAACCAAAAUAACAAGGUGAAAAGGAAAAGAAGAUUUUUAAAAAGUUCCUACCGAUCCUUCAUGUGGAUCAUAAUUUUCCCAGCCUCUUCUCUUGCUUUUUUCUCCACCAAUUUCUUGCAUAAUCCUUCAAAUGCUGCUUCAUUUUGACAACCGUUUCAUUGUCCAACUCAAAAUUGGCAACUGCAGUUGAGAACUCCGAUACUGCAACUUUGGUCUCACGAUUAAGUAGUUUUCGUAUCGAAGCCCAGGUGUCUUUCGCACCAGUUUCCAGUAGAGCCUCUACAGGACCGCUUAAAGACGAAGAAAGUUUUUUUCUGAAAAAUAAUGGGUAUUUGCAUUAAGAAAUUUGAAUAACCAAGACUUUGAUACAUUAUCAGAGCACUACCUCAUAUGUGGAGAUAAAUGACCACAUACCUCAUCGUGGACCAACUGUUUGAAUUUCUGGUUGGCAAUCUCUUCACACCGAACCGUAGCAACCAUAACCUAAUUAAAUUACAGUAUGUGUAUUAUAUAUUAUAUGCAUACGAGAAGUGAAGUCCUUGUUCUCUUUGAUUACUUUCCAAAUCUGUUGUGCACUAAAGGAAAAUCCUGACGCAGGGACAACACCCCUUCUAUCGCCAGCAAGCCCUCGUGGAGAAAUAGAAUGGAAAAAGCCAUCUCUCUUUCUUUCUCUUUUGUGAUGCGUCCAUCUCAGCCUCCCCAAGCAACUCGACGGCGUUGCUGCAGGCCAUGGCGAACAGUUCCACUCGAAAAUCCGUCCAAUUUGAGCGAGAGUCAAAGAACUCGGGGAAGAAUCGGACCUCGUAGUUUUGGAUGUGGCUCGCCAGAUGAGCCAUGGUUUCCAGCGAAAACGGGCACCAAAAAUUUUGGUCUCGGAUCUUCGACCUGGAUCCCCAUCAACAAAAUCGAACAACACAGAUUCAAGGUAAUGUAUAUGUGUGUCUGAGGGUUUGAAAUUGGGGGAAGGGCGGCUGAGCCAUGUGAAAUUCGGUGAGAUGACAUAGAGUCGGGAGCGAUGAUGAGUUUUCGGUUGUUUUGGGGAGAUGUUGCUUUAUUUAGUUAUAGGGAAUUUUAUUGUUGGUGCGUGGUGAAGGAAGGAGGGAGGAACAAACAUGGAAUACUUAUGGAAGUUGUAGAAGUACUUACUACUCUCAACCUUAUUGUUACGAAAGCAUACAUAUCUUCGGAUAGUGGCUGGUUCAUGGAUGGUAAAAAUCCUUUUAUUACGGACUUUUUUAUCGCUGUAAAAAUUGUCCUUUUUUGUUCGAGCUAGAAACUGAUUAUGUGAUUUGGUUUUCAAAUCGGUUUUAACUGCCGCUGAUCAAGAUGGAAACAAGGUUACAGAUGAGGUUUUGAAUUAUAUUCUAAACCUAAUCCAAUACUAACUGUGUUUGCCAUUUUUUUUUCUUGCUUUUGCAGCGAAUGAUGUAAAAAUACUUUAUUCAAAAGGUUACAUUUGUUUGGUCUACUGUGGUUACAUUUUUCAUUUGAUUAAGCUUUGUCAUUGUGUAUAUAUUGGUUGUUCUGUUUCUUAAUAUUGGUGUAGGAAUUUGAUACUUAAAUGCUUCUUCAGGUAUGAAUGGCUCCCAAAACAAAUAAAACACUGUAACUUCAUUAACUGCCGGAAUCAAUCUCAACAUAAAGGAAAGUUUCUGUAAGCAUGCUCUAUUCCUAGGGAGAUUUCAGUUUAAUAGAAUUUUUUGUUUAUGUGGGUUUUGAAUUUUAUCAUAAGAUUUUUUCUUAAUUGGUAUUCAAAAGCGAAUAAAAUAUGUGUUCCUUGGGUCUGACUUUUUAGUUGUUUUGUUAUGAAAUUGUUAAUUGAUUGCAUAUUGUUAAUUUGAUACAUUUUUUUUUUAUGUUAGCUCCAAUUUCAUGCUCUAAGAAAGUUAUGGAUUCAUUUUUUGUAGCAAAUAUUAAAGUAUCAAUAUCCAAAAGAGUUAAAUUAGUUUCAAUUCUUAAAUUAUCAGUACACAGAAGAAAGAUCUAUUAGUUUAAUUUAAAUACGUUUGGAAAGUUAGAAAUAGCUCUAUUAGUUUCAAUUUGUACACUUUUUGAAAUUUAGAGAUCUACUGAGCAUGUUGAAAAUUUGAAGUUGUACUUUUGCGUACUCCAAACUGUGACCUAUAGUUCCCUUAAUAUUUUCAUCCAUUUGAAUUGAUACAAAAUAACAUACUGAAUCCAUGAUCAAUCCCAUUACUAUGUUUAUGUCAAUAUUCUUUCACUUUCUUACACUGAAUUUAACUUUGCUAACACUGGUAAGCUUCCCUUUCAAAAAAAAUUUCUCUUCAGUAAAUACGAUUUAUCAAUGCUUAAUUUGGGUUUGGAGUUGUUUUCUUCUCAUGGUAAAAAUUGGUGUGUCCCAUCCAGAACAAUUAGUGGCCAUUUUUGAGGUUUAUUCCAGUAAAGGGUUUAAGGUUUUUUAUAAUGUCAUAUCGUGUUAGGAUUUUUGAAAGUUGGUUUAUUUUGAAAUUAAAGAUUUUAUGCAUCAUUCAGUUGGUGAAGGACACUUUGAAAUCAAUUUUUUCCGCAGCUGAGACAAUUGAUUAGUUGAUAAGAAAGCGACAUUUUCAUUCUAUUUGUAAGAUUUAGCCAAAAGUAUUUUUUAACAACUAUGAUAUAGUUUGAUUUCAAUUCAGAAGUACUUAUUUUGUUAAAUUUAACCUCGAAUAUGUUAGUAAAUCUUUAUACUUUAUGUGCAAAUACAUAUAUAAUCCUGUAUGUAUAAUUUUUAUAAUGUUGCUAAACAUUUUUACUUUCAUCUUUUUGUCCGUAGAGGGUGAAAACCGCGCCGUUCACAGAUGCAAAACAGGGAACAUCUCCUACUUCAUAUGAGAAGUAGAGAUUAGUUCGAUUGUGAUUGUUUUUCUGAUUUGGUUAAAUUCGAAAUUAGUUGGCUUGCGUCUAAUUUAGUUGUUUGCAUUGGUCACACAUGUAGUCGUUUUCUAACUUAGUUCAUCAAAAUAUGUCAUACAAUUUCCACUCCCGCAAUAACGCGUGAAUCACAUUUCCCGCAGCAAUGCGUGGGCUACACUUUCUAGUUAUUACUUUAGUCUAAAGAAAGCAUUGCAAUUGGCACAAUGAACAGUGUUUGUACUCGGAUUUCAGUUUAAUUACAACCAUGCCAUUGCUUUAAUGAGUGGGCUUUGUGGAAGGUUCGGGUUCGGGUUUAUUUUUUUGGGUUUGGGCAAAUGGGCUGCUAAAUCUCUACAAAGAAAACAUAUAAUGUAAAACAAAUAUUUAAAAAAAAAAUACAAACCCUAAACUUAAUCAUUCAAAAUAAUAGAAAAAGUAAAGUAGAAAACCCAACCCCCGAAUCCCAUUCCCUGCUAGCAACCUUUCCCUUCCCAUUUUGCCCGACACCCCGCCCAGCUUAGUUCUCUCUCUCUCUCUUUUUCCCUAUUCAUGACGGCACCUGAGAUUUGAUGAUGACAUAUUUUACUUAUUUUAAAUUCUAUUUUAAAAUAAGCUGGGGUGUCAGGUAAAUUCUAUUUUAAAAUAGACUAGAUCUGGCCUUUUACUAACUUCUUUUAAUUUUUGAUUUUUUUAAUUCUAUUUUACUUAUGUUUUUCAUAGUUAUCUUACCCUUUGAAAUGACAUAUUUACCCUUAAUUUUGAAGGCAAUUUGGAUGGAACUCGAAAAGCUUAACAGUAGGGGCCAAAUUGACCACUUAAACAUAGUUCGGGGGUCAAUUGGCUGAAAAAAUAGUUCAAGAGGAAAUUGACACUGACGUCAUAGGUGUUAAAUGACAGUUUACCUUGCGGUAGGUAAGGAGUGAGGUGGAUGCGGUGACUCGUCCACAGAGCAUCUGCAGCUUGCAGGCAGAGAGAAGAGGAGAGAUGAAAGAGUCGUGGGUGAGAGAAGAGGGGAGUGGGAAGAGUCGUGCGUUGCAAACGGGAUGGAAGGAAAGAUGGGAGGGGUAGGAUGAGCGAAUCAAGCUGGAAGCCAUUUCCGCAACAAUUAAUGGGGAAGGCAUGGUUGUGUGCAGUUCGUGGGGUUGGCCGGUCAGGAAGGGGUUACUAAGGGAGGUACGGGAGAGUUUGAUUUCUCUGUUUCCUUCCUUUAUUUCUCUGUUUCGUCUACUAUAUCCCCCAGCCAUAAAGCACAAAAGCAGUUCUACUCAACACACACACACCCAGACACCUCCACAACUGGCCACCCCACCUCCAUUUCAGCUCAGCUUGUAAUUACAAGUGACCAUGCACUCAAAUUGGAGUUUGUUCCAGAGUGGAUUGCCAUUGUCGGCAGUGGUUACAUAGGUCUUGAGUUCAGUGACGUAUAUACAGCACUUGGGAGUGAGGUAUUUCCUUUCUUUCUAUUUUCAUUUAUCUUCUGAGUUUUUACAAUAGUUCUAUGUGAAAUUUGCUAAUUUUAUGGGUCAAUCAAUAACUUCUCUCACGUUUUAUUUAUUUUAAUUUUUCAAUACUGUUUUUUUACUAUCUAGGAGUUCUUAUCUCACAAGGCAUCCUAGAUUAAUCCUAAGUAUUUUGUAGGUUACUUUCAUUGAAGCUUUAGAUCAGCUUGUGCCUGGUUUUGAUCCUGAGAUUGGAAAGUUAGCCCAUAGGGUUCUAAUUAAUCCACGGAAGAUUGAUUGUCAAACUGGGGUAUUCGCAUCCAAGGUAAGCUGAUGAUUGACGUUUUUAUUAAGUGUUUUCAGGAUUUCUGUUUCAGUUUUUUCACCUUCUUUGGUCUCUUAUAGAUCACACUAGCCAAGGAUGGGAAACAAGUCACCAUUGAACUAAUUGAUGCAAAGACCAAGGAACCAAAAGAAACUCUUGAGGUAAAUAACUGGAUCUGUCGCUAAUUUAUAGAUUAUAACCUGCUGUGAUUCUGUUCUUGAAGUCAGGCAUAUGUUUAGACUUCCAAAUUGAUGACUUAGUAGCCUGAGUGCUUGCCUUAAAAUUACUAUAGGCAUAAGUGUUACAGUUCAUAAGUAUGAAAGGUUUUUCAAGGCAUUUGUGAUAGACCAUUGUACUCUUUAUCUUCUCCUAGGUAGAUGCAUCACUAAUUGCAACUGGAAGAGCGCCAUUCACACAAGGUCUUGGAUUGGAGAAUGUAUGACAUCUCGAUUAGCAUUUAUUUAAUUUUGGAGUCUAUAUAAAGUUAUUCAGCAAAUUCAUGUGAUUAAAGUCUGAAAAAAUACAGUGAAAAAAAUGCAACUUUUUAUAUGGCAAAUGUGCUUAAAGAUUUGACAUGUUAUUGAAUAUUAGCCAUGUAGUUUGAAUUAGAUAUGUGAUUGAAUAUUAGGUAUUUAGUUUGAAUUGAUUUGGACGUGUGGUUUAUUUCAUUGGAAUUUGGAUAUGUGCUAAUUUGAAGAACAUGACAAAAUCUGAAGAACCUUAUUCAGUAUUUGGCCAUUAGAUAAAACAUCAACAUAAUUUCCCUUGCUUUCACUGAUUCUCUGUGAUUACAGUCUGGAAAAAUACAGUGAAAAAGAUGCGAACUUUUUAUGGAGUUGACAAUUUUCGGCUUAGUUUUGGAUCAAAAAGAAUUAGAGUGUUACUUAUUAAGUUGAGUUAACAAAUUUGCAGCAUGCAACAGAGCACAUAGGAGAAGUUUUCAAACGAGUUAAGAAGAUCCAGUUGAAAAGAGCAUACAAGAUAGAGAACUGGUAUGCUGCUUUGUCUUUCUGUUGGAUUUUGAUGUUUAUGUUCUGCUGCUAAGUAGACUUUAUAGUGCCAUGUUAUUGAAUAUUAGCCAUGUAGUUUGGAUAUGUGAUUAAAUAUUAAGUAUUUAGUUUGAAUUGAUUUGGAUAUGUGGUUUAUUGAAUUGGAAUUUGAAUAUGUGCUAAUUUGAAUUGGAUAUGUUGAGUUAGAGAUGUGCUACUUUGAAUUGGAUAGGUUGAAUUGGAGUAUGCUAUAUUGAUAAAUGAUGCACUGAUGGUUACAGAACACACACGCACACACUCACCAGUCAUCACAUACUUUGGGGCUGCAUAACCAUAGGUUCCCAUGACUCGCAUCGAAACAUGAGUUUUAUCACCCUCAGGACCAUCUUUUACAAGUUCGAAAUCCGAAGGCUUGGCAUUGUAAUCCUAAAAUAACACAUUCCAUUUUCAGAAGAGAAUAGGAGUAGGGAAAGAAAUGUAGUUGAUGCUCAGUUAUUGUCACUCACUGCAUCUAAUAGGAUAUUAGAUGUUUUGAAGUCACGGUAUAUGACUGGGUUUUGAACUUCUUCAUGAAGAAAGACAAGACCCUUUGCAGCACCGAGUGCAAUUCUCAUUCUAAUAGACCAGUUCAGUUCCGAUCUAAAGGCGAGGUGUUGUUUCCAUCACUGGUCAGCGGACACACGUUCUGUGGAUCAGUUUGCAUGCACGUCGUUUGUUCUUGAUUCCAUCUUUCAAUUACAUCAUUAUGAUGUCUAUAGUUGAAUAAGUUUUGUAUAGUUAUUGACCGAAAAAAAAAGAUAAUUUUUCUGGUAUAUUUAGAACAAAGCCAAACUUUUAGUAAGCAGAGAAGCCACAUGUGUUGAAGUUGAGUGGUUUCAGCUUCUCCCUUUGGGGCUUUUGCACAAUCAAAUUUUAUAUUUUUGUGUCUAUUGUCAUUUUUUGCAGCUCUAAUACUGUGUAUUGGUAUGGUUAAUUCUUUGAGGUGCAGGUUACCCUAUAGACGUUACAAUUUAGGUCUUUAGUUGUUUGAUAGAAAAUCGCUUUGAUUCAUCGUUUCUUAUCGGAUAGUUUGAUCGUUAGGCUCUUAUUUCAGAUCGUAACUCAUUUUGGUUGCAAGUUUGUUCUGUAAUUUUUUUUUCCUCUGCUAUUAAUAGCUUACCACAUGUGGUAGCAGAGUGAUUGUGUUGGUAGCUUAUGUAUACAAGUGAAUUCAGAUGACACAAUGAGUUUGAUAUUCAAAAAAAAAAAUGUCUGUUAGUUCAGCUUUUGAAUCUUUAAAAACUAUCGAAUCAAUUUGAAUGUGUAAUUUUAUGUUUAUUGUUAGGUAAAUUGCUGUUUUUUUCGCUGAUAAAAUGUAUAGAGUUUGGCUGUGUAAAUGUGUAUAGUUUUAUACGUUUCGCUCGGUAGACAAUUUGAUAAUGGCUGAAGUGCAUUCUUUAAUGAAAUGUGUUUUCUUUCCUCGAUCGUGAAUGCCUUUUUGGUAUUUUGCAGAUCGAAACAAAGUGAAAGCUUUUGACCAUGAAUUUUGCAACCACUGCCUUGCUGCUUUGGUAAAGUCUCAACUUCUUUAUAAUAUCAAUUAAUUUUGGCUGUAAUGUUAGGCCUCGUUUGUUUGACCUCCUUAGCUAGGACUGGACUAGCUAGGACUAAUAACCCAUGUUUGGUGCAAGCCGGGAUUGAGUUUAGUGGGAUUAAGUCGGACUCGUGCCGACUAAAUCCUUCCUUAGCUGGGCUUAGCGAGAGCCCCCGAAAAGGAGGGGAUUGCUAGUCCUGUUUCCCUGUCUUCCCUCUCACGCCGCGUCCUCGUGCUCAUCGUGCACGACUGCACCAUCUCAGACGACGACUCGUCUUCCUCCACCCACCCCUUGCUGUCUGCAACUCCAAUCCCUGCCCAUGCCCAUACCUAGCCCCACCCACCCGUGUCGUCUGCAACUUCAAUCCUCACCCAUGGAAGAAUAAUUGAAGUUGGACGGGAAAAGAGGUAAAGGGAAGAGAGAGAGGGAUUUGAACGGAAAAACAAAGGGAAGAGAGAGGAAGCUGAACAUGAAAGCUCACCAUGGCUGCCAUUAAAUUGGCGAUGCUAAGCUUGAGAGGGAGGGGUUGGGGUUUUUUGGGGGAAGCCGGUGGUACUGCAAAAAAGAGGGAGAAAAGGCAGAAAAAAGGGGCGGAGACAAAAAUGAAUCAUGGAAGAAGAUGAUUCUGCAAAUGAUAAAAUAAUAAUAAAAAAAUUAGUAGAUUAGAUUAAAUUAAUAAUAAAAUAUUGUAUAUAUAGAUUUAAUAAUAUAAUAUUAGAGUCAUGUUUCUUAAUCCGGCACUGCAUCAAACGCUUCACUAAAUCAGUCCAGCUUAGUCUAGUUUAAGCCAGUCCAGCUUAGUCCCUAAAGCUAGUCCAGUCCGAGAUAGUCCGGUGCAACAAACGCACCCUUAGGGUAUUGAGUUGAAUGCAUAUGCUACAUGGCAUAGGUCUAACAUGAUUAGAACUUUAAUAUCAUGAUGUAUGAUAGUGGUUUAUUGAAUUGGAAUUUGGAUAUGUGCUAAUUUGAAUUGGAUAUGUUGAGUUAGAGAUGUGCUACUUUGAAUUGGAUAGGUUGAAUUGGAGUGUGCUAUAUUGAUAUAUGAUGAACUGAUGGUUACAGAACACACACGCACGCACUCACCAGUCAUCACAUACUUUUGGGCUGCAUAACCAUAGGUUCCCAUGAUUGCCGUCGAAACAUGAGUUUUAUCACCCUCAGGACCAUCUUUCGCAAGUUAAAAAUCCGAAAGCUUGGCAUUGUAAUCCUAAAAUAACACAUUCCAUUUUCAGAAGAGAAUAGGAGUAGGGAAAGAAAUGUAGUUGAUGCUCAGUUAUUGUCAUUCACUGCAUCUAAUAGGAUAUUAGAUGUUUUGAAGUCACGGUAUAUGACUGGGUUUUGAACUUCUUCAUGAAGAAAGGCAAGACCCUUUGCAGCACCGAGUGCAAUUCUCAUUCUAAUAGAUCACGGAAGAGGCAGGGACCCUAUUACCAAAGAUCAAUAGGCAACCAUAAAAUAAAAGGGUAGCCCUUUGGAUUUUGACUUUUAACGUGAUUCAAUAUUGGUUAGCAAGAUAUCAUGGAACCAAGAUAUAGUUAGCUGGCUAAUUGAAAUCCUAAUUAAGUAAGACAUUUGUACUUGCCUUGGUUAGACAACAUUAAGAUUACAUGGUGAUUUGGUGUAUUCCUCCAAGUACUAUAAUGGGUGGGAUUGGAGGAACCCAAUUCACUAUAUUAAGGGUGUCCCUACUUUCACAAAAUGCACGUUCCAUUCUGGUUCGCCGAUAUUUUCUUAUUGAUUUUAUGUUUCCCAGCUUAAAGUUUAGUAAGAAACACUUGACUUAACAAAUGGUAAGUCCACUUGGUGGACGGCUUAUAAGUAUACCUUAAUGCGCAGGCAAAAAUACUCUCAUUUUUGAUAAAAAUUGUGAACAAUAUAAAUCACGACUUUUAAUUGGGUUUACGAAAUUAAAGUCAUACAAAGGAUCUACACGUACAAACUUUAUAUAUAUCUCAAAAGAAAAUAAAAGGUAUUCAUUCCACAGACAGUCUACAUAAAACAUUCCCCCAGGGCAUUAAAGCAAUUAGGAGCUAGGACAGUAAUCUUGCAGAAUGCAAGUCCACUGCUAGCUAGACAUAUUUCAUGCAUUAAUAGCCCUGUAGUUCUUUCUGAUUAACUCUGUUGUAAUCUAUGUGUGUUGCUGAUGAAAGAAGAUCAAGGUUUAGCCAUCAUCCUUAAUGGUCCUUGAAACUCAGAUCCGUGUCGAUGGGUACUUUCACUUGCUAUGCAUACGGUGAUAAUUGUGGCUGAUGCUGUUAUGAUUCAUCAUCAACAACAACAACAACAACAACAACAACAAAGCCUUUUCCCACUAAGUGGGGUCGGCUAUAUGAAUCCUAGAACGCCAUUGCGCUCGGUUUUGUGUCAUGUCCUCCGUUAGAUCCAAGUACUCAAGUCUUUUCUUAGGGUCUCUUCCAAAGUUUUCCUAGGUCUUCCUCUACCCCUUCGGCCCUGAACCUCUGUCCCGUAGUCACAUUUUUGAACCGGAGCGUCAAUAGGCCUUCUUUGCACAUGUCCAAACCACCGGAACCGAUUUUCUCUCAUAUUUCCUUCAAUUUUGGCUACUCCUACUUUACCUCGGAUAUCCUCAUUCCCAAUCUUAUCCUUUCUCGUGUGCCCAUACAUCCCACAAAGCAUCCUCAUCUCCGCUACACCCAUUUUGUGUACGUGUUGAUGCUUCACCGCCCAACAUUCUGUGCCAUACAACAUCGCUGGCCUUAUUGCCGUCUUAUAAAAUUUUCCCUUGAGCUUCAGUGGCCUACGACGGUCACACAACACGCCGGAUGCACUCUUACACUUCAUCCAUCCAGCUUGUAUUCUAUGGUUGAGAUCUCCAUCUAAUUAUCCGUUCUCUUGCAAGAUAGAUCCUAGGUAGCAAAAACGGUCACUUUUUGUGAUCUUCGCUAGAUUGCUCCGGUCAUUAGUGUGGAUAAGUAUAUAAAUGGAUAGGGAUAGGAAAGCAAACACAAGAUGUACGUGGUUCACCCAGAUUGGCUACGUCCACGGAAUAGAGGAGUUCUCAUUAAUUGUGAAGGGUUUACACAAGUACAUAGGUUCAAGCUCUCCUUUAGUGAGUACAAGUGAAUGAUUUAGUACAAAUGACAUUAGGAAAUAUUGUGGGAGAAUGAUCUCGUAACCACGAAACUUCUAAGUACCGGAGUGUGGUAUCGUCUUGACUUUCCUUAUCUGUCUCAUAGGUAGAUGUGGCAUCUUCUCUGGAAGUACUCUUCCUCCAUCUAGGGGUGGUAUCUGUAACUGGUGGAGAUGCACAAGGUAAUGUAUCAAUGUCACUUGAAGCUUACUUGUAGUUUCAAGCUUGGUCAAGCGCGAUACAAACCAUGUAGUAGGAGCCCCCAAGUCGCCGAGCUAGGGGAUCUGCUGAAAGAGGUGACAGACAAGGUAAGCAAUCAGAGCUCCGGCUGAUUGUUCACAUUCUCCCUAUCUUGCAGGCAGCAUGAAGGAUAAAGAGAAGAAAAAUGAGAAGAGAUGAUAUGGGAUACUUUUGCUUUUGAAGAAGUAACUUUCCACAAGCUUAUUCUUGAACUGGGCUGGAAGGUUUUCUGGUUUCCUCCAGAGUAUAAGGCCGACUGAAGAAUUUGAGGGUCAAAACAAGUCCAUCAAAUCUAGAGUACGUUCGACCCUGCUGAUAUGGGAUACUUUUGCUUUUGACAGAGUAGUGGAUGUAUCGGCACGUGUGCUGUUACGCUUGUCUCCACAUGUUUCAUUUUAUCCUUCUCACUUGCCCUAUCUGUUCCUCAGGCAGAUGCGGUAUCUUCCCUGGGAGCAUAAGAUGUUGAAGAUGAGUACUCGAGAGCAAUGCCAGGUAAGUAAUCAGGUAAGGGGUUCCAGGCAGUCAGUUCCUGGCUGGAAGCUUGAUUCCAAGUGCUGACUGAUUGCUCUCUUUCUUUUUGUCUUGCAGGUAAGAACAAGGCCAAAGGAAAAGACAGGGAAAAAGCAUGAUAUGGGAUACUCUUGCUUUUAACCCUGAUGAUAUGAGAUAUUCUUGCUCUAGUAUAGCUUGUUUACAGAGGUAUUAUCGGGGGGAAAGAAAGCUGAAUAUUUCGAAAGGCUUCGUUGGGAGUGCCCUCUCAAAUAAGAGGAAGGGUUGAGUAUUUUUGCAGGUCUGCCUGUCCGUUGGGGAUGGAGGUCGACAUAUAUAGGAGUCUCCCUAACAUCAAGUAAUAAUGCUAUUCCUUUACCCUGCUUGGUCAUAGCACGGUAGUGGGAGCUGCCAGCUUCACAAGUUUUAACUCUGUUAGAGCACUUUGAAAAAGUGGUCUGUGGUAUCUGGAAAGCUGAUGUUGCGUGUGAAGAUUACAGACAAGCUUUAUCCAAGGAGAUCCAGCUCUUGAAGUUGGGAAAGUGGUGCCUCUUCGGUUUUCGAACAAGCAAUCCUGUCGGGGAUCUGGCUCUCGAGAUUCGGAGAACGAUGCCUCUUCGAUUUUGAGAAAGCAAUCCUGCCGGGGGUCUGGCUCUCGAGAUUCGGAGAGCGGUGUCUUCGAUUUUUGAGAAAGUAAUCAUGUUGGGAGUCUGGCUCUCGAGAUUCGGAGGGCGGUGCCUCUUCGAUUUUGGAGCAAGCAAUCUUGUUGGGAGUGUUUUCUCGAAUGUGAGUAAAGGUUGGGCAUGUUUGCUAGUCUAUCUUGCCACGAAGCACAGAGGUUGACACACAGGGACUUUCCAAUUAUCCAACAGUGGUACUGUUCCUUUACCCUCUCUUCGAUUUUUGAGAAAGUAAUCAUGUUAGGAGUCUGGCUCUCGAGAUUCGGAGGGCGGUGCCUCUUCGAUUUUGGAGCAAGCAAUCUUGUUGGGGAUGUUUUCUCGAAUGUGAGUAAAGGUUGGGCAUGUUUGCUAGUCUAUCUUGCCACGAAGCACAGAGGUUGACACACAGGGACUUUCCAAUUAUCCAGCAGUGGUACUGUUCAUUUACCCUCUCUUCGAUUUUUGAGAAAGUAAUCAUGUUGGGAGUCUGGCUCUCGAGAUUCGGAGGGCGGUGACUCUUCGAUUUUGGAGCAAGCAAUCUUGUUGAGAGUGUUUUCUCGAAUGUGAGUAAAGGUUGGGCAUGUUUGCUAGUCUAUCUUGCCACGAAGCACAGAGGUUGACACACAGGGACUUUCCAAUUAUCCAACAGUGGUACUGUUCCUUUACCCUCUCUUCGAUUUUUGAGAAAGUAAUCAUGUUAGGAGUCUGGCUCUCGAGAUUCGGAGGGCGGUGCCUCUUCGAUUUUGGAGCAAGCAAUCUUGUUGGGGAUGUUUUCUCGAAUGUGAGUAAAGGUUGGGCAUGUUUGCUAGUCUAUCUUGCCACGAAGCACAGAGGUUGACACACAGGGACUUUCCAAUUAUCCAGCAGUGGUACUGUUCAUUUACCCUCUCUUCGAUUUUUGAGAAAGUAAUCAUGUUGGGAGUCUGGCUCUCGAGAUUCGGAGGGCGGUGCCUCUUCGAUUUUGGAGCAAGCAAUCUUGUUGGGAGUGUUUUCUCGAAUGUGAGUAAAGGUUGGGCAUGUUUGCUAGUCUACCUUGCCACAAAACACAGAGGUUGACACACUGGGACUUUCCAAUUAUCCAGCAGUGGUACUGUUCCUUUACCCUUGUGGGUAAUAAUAUGGUAGCUAGACCUUCAAAAUUUAUGUGUCUAAACUUUGUUAAUGUUGUUUCUUUGCUAUUCUUUUACCCUUCUUGGUCAGAGCGAUGUAGUGAGAGCUACAAGCUUCACGUGUCUCAACUUUGUCAGAGAACUUUGGCAAAGUUAUAUGUGGUACCCAUGAGCUACUGUUGCGUGUGGGAAGUGGGUGAUUGAACAGUACGAUUCAUGUGCUUUCUACUUCGCCAGAAAUCUUCGACAGAAUGCCCAUAAUUUCCGCAAAGCUGAGUGUGCGUGUGACAGGUGCUGACAAGGCUGGAAAAGUAGGUGCCUCUUCGAUUUCUGAGAUCGGCCCUCGUGGUCUCUGAGCAGCCCAUCUUUUGAGAAAGCAAACCUCUUCGAUUUCUGAGAUCGGCCUUCGUGGUCUUUGAGCAGCCCAGCUUUUGAGAAAACAAACGCCUCUUCGAUUUCUGAGAUCGACCCUCGUGGUCUCUGAGCAACCCAGCUUUUGAGAAAGCAAACGCCUCUUCGAUUUCUGAGCAGGCGCCUCUUCGAUUUCUGAAGCUUCGUCGAGUGCAGAUUUUUAUAGGGGCUGACAUUAAGUUCCAAAGCACACUUGAAUAUCCACCAGUAGAAGCUCUAUUCUUGCACUUCGAAGAUCUUGAUUUGUCCGACCUCUUCUCUCUUCAACACCCUUUGAAAAUGUCUGGCCCCUCCGACCGUCGUUUUGACUUGAACCUUGUUGAAGAGGCAGCCCCGCCUUCUCCAGACAACAUAUGGCGCCCAUCCUUCGUCUCCCCUACUGGUCCUCUUACCGUUGGGGAUUCCGUGAUGAAGAAUGAUAUGACCGCUGCGGUAGUGGCCAGGAACCUUCUCACUCCCAAAGAUAACAGACUACUUUCCAAACGGUCUGAUGAGUUGGCUGUUAAGGAUUCUCUGGCUCUUCAGUGUUCAGUGUGCAGGUUCUGUGUCUAAUAUGGCCCAACGCCUAUUUGCUCGAACCCGCCAAGUUGAAUCAUUGGCGGCUGAAGUGAUGAGUCUCAAACAGAAGAUUAGAGGGCUCAAGCAUGAGAAUAAACAGUUGCACCGGCUCGCACAUGACUAUGCUACAAACAUGAAGAGGAAGCUUGACCAGAUGAAGGAAUCUGAUGGUCAGGUUUUACUUGAUCAUCAGAGAUUUGUGGGUUUGUUCCAAAGGCAUUUAUUGCCUUCGUCUUCUGGGGCUGUACCGCGUAAUGAAGCUCCAAAUGAUCAACCUCUGAUGCCUCCUCCUCCUUUUAGGGUUCUGUCCAGUACUGAGGCUCCGAAUGAUCCCCCUCCGGUGCCUUCUCUUUCUGGGGCUCUACCGACUACUGAGACUUCUCCUAAGCAACCUUUGUGAAGGCUCCCUCUUGUUUUUUAUUUUGACUCAAGUAUAUGUACAUAUUUGUAACUUAUCGGGGAUAUCAAUAAAUAAGCUUUCUUUCAUUUCAACGUAUUGUGUUAAAUACCCCAAAGUCUUCUUCGCUAAGUUCUUUGAAUUUUCUUUUGUUGAAGCUUGUAUGUUGAAGCUUUGUGAGUGGAGCAUGUAGGUUGAGGUAGUGUUCCCUUAAUUUCCCGAGUGUGGAAAACUUCUCGGUUGGAGACUUGGAAAAUCCAAGUCACUGAGUGGGAUCGGCUAUAUGAAUCUUAGAACGCCAUUGUGUUCUGUCCUGUGUCAUGUCCUCCGUCAGAUCCAAGUACUCUAAGUCUUUUCUUAGGGUCUCUUCCAAAGUUUUCCUAGGUCUUCCUCUACCCCUUCGGCCCUGAACCUCUGUCCCAUAGUCGCAUCUUAUAAUCGAAGCGUCAGUAGGCCUUCUUUGCACAUGUCCAAACCACCGUAACCGAUUUUCUCUCAUCUUUCCUUCAAUUUCGGCUACUCCUACUUUACCCCGGAUAUCCUCAUUCCUAAUCUUAUCCUUUCUUGUGUGCCCACACAUCCAACGAAGCAUCCUCAUCUCCGCUACACCCAUUUUGUGUACGUGUUGAUGCUUCACCGCCCAACAUUCUGUGCCAUACAGCAUCGCCGGCCUUAUUGCCGUCCUAUAAAAUUUUCCCUUGAGCUUCAGUGGCAUACGGCGGUCACACAACACGCCGGAUGCACUCUUCCACUUCAUCCAUCCAGCUUGUAUUCUAUGGUUAAGAUCUCCAUCUAAUUCUCCGUUCUUUUGCAAGAUAGAUCCUAGGUAACGAAAACGGUCGCUCUUUGGUAUUUCUUGAUCUCCGAUCCUCACCCCUAACUCGUUUUGGCCUCCAUUUGCACUGAACUUGCACUCCAUAUAUCUGUCUUUGAUCGGCUUAGGCGAAGACCUUUAGAUUCCAACACUUCUCUCCAAAGGUUAAGCUUUGCAUUUACCCCUUCCUGAGUUUCAUCUAUCAACACUAUAUCGUCUGCGAAAAGCAUACACCAAGGGAUAUCAUCUUGAAUAUGUCCUGUUAACUCAUCCAUUACCAACGCGCUGUUAUGAUUCAUAACUAGGCAAUUUCCUCUCAUAUUUCCUUUGGUUGUGUAAUGAUUUCCUUUUGUCCUAACUUCACUUGCCAUCAUAUGUUCAGGAUUGGGUUACCCUUGGUAGAGCACAGUUAAACUUUGGGGAGCCUGAUAGUGCCAUUCAAAGCUUCGACAGAGCCUUAGCCAUCAAGGUAUUGUUUCACCUUUCAAGAAAUUAUAAUCUGUAGUUCUCAAAGCUUCUUACGCUAUUUUCUGAUGCGUCUUUGAGCCACUGACCUUAGGUUGGAGUCUGAUACUGCAAUAUUAUGUGCUAAUCUAAUAAACCUGCAACUUAUUCAUCUUCGUCAUGAGUAAUUUUUGGUUUUUUCAUUGAAAUAGGGAUUUAGUGGAUGAUUGUUUUCAACACAUAUUAGUUAAAAUGAGUUAAGUAUUGGGUGCCAAUCCCAUGUCUGCAAAUCACAGUACCCUAAGGAAAAAACAUUGUCUGCACGAUCUGUAAUACAUGUUCAAGCAAGAAUCUUUUCCCAAACUAAAAAGCUUACAUUUCAAAACGUGUAAAAGAUGUGCCACUAUCAUCUUACGGUCUUUAUUUUUUGUUUUGUUGGGUGAUGCAGUUUGAUCGAAUCAGUUUGAAUUGAAUAAUCCUUGAAGUGACAAGAAGGAACUGACUAAGCAAGUAAUAAUUCUUAAUUACUUACAUGUUUUCAUUUUAAUUUAUGAUUUGAUUGGCCCUUUCUUAUAUAAAUUUCGAGCUCCUUAAUUGUUGGACCAUGGAUAUGUUAUGAGUGCUGAUUAGCGUAUGUGUGUAAAUAUAGUGUAUGGGUGUUAAGUACUUCAGAUGUUAUUGACGAUCUCAGAAGAGAAGGGGCAUCCCCUUCUUCUGCUUUUUCUUUUCUCGCUUUCUAUCCUACAGUUGUUUCGUCUUCGCUCAUUGCAAAUGUAUUUGUAUUUUGAAUUUAUUUUAUCCAUAUUACUGAAAAGAUGUUGUGAUCUCUUAGAGUUCAAUGGAAGCACUUGAAUCGGUUGUGUGAAUUUUAUGAUAAAUUAUGCAGUUUUGGGUUUGAAUCUUUGUUUGGUGAUUGGAGAUUGAUUUCUCUGUUUCUUCGUUGCCGAUUCAGUUGCUCCAAUGGCUUCAUCAGAGAAGGUUGUGUCUGCUGUUGGUAUGCUUGCUGUUGUUUCUCACGUUGUUAAUUGUUUUUUAAUUUUGUUGAUUUGAUUAACGGUACAAGCAUAUCUUUAUUUAUGUUUGUAUCUUGAUUUGCUUAACAGUUCAAGCAUAUCUUUUUUGUGUUUAUUAUUUCCUUGGUGUUUAGUUUUAUUUGAAUUUCUUAAUUUGUUCAAAGGAUGCUUUAGGUAGUAUCCACUUUCUAUGUUUUUUAUUAACUGCUAAAAUAGGUGUCUGCCGCACAUGACAUAUAUUUUGCCAUCUUAAAGGGCAAAAUAUGUGUGAACUGCAUGUUGCUUUGGUUUCUUCUGUUUUUUAUGGAAACAGAAAAUUUUUGGCGACCACGUGUUUGUGAUCAAGAACGUUAAGUUUCGUUCUACUAAUUGUACAAUGUCUUUACAUGUCAGCUCAGUUGAAUGUAUAUAAAAGCCAAGCUGCUUAUCUUAUCGACCUCAUUUACUCAUGUAUCCUCUGUUUGUUCAUAAUUGUGUUGAAUUUAUUCAACUUAAAUGUGUUUUAUUCAUCUGAUUAUGCCUGAAACACUGGUUCCCACAGCAACGCGCGGGCAUAUAUUCUAGUCUAUUCUAAAACCGCAGCAACGCACGGGCGUAUAUUCUAGUCUAUUCUAAAAUUGAGGAAGGAUUUACUGUUCGUUCAGCUACAGUUAAAUUUUUGCCCCUCAAUUUCACCUUAUUUACAAGAAACCCAUCAGAUUUGGGCUGGGUUGGAAGGGUAAUUAUUAGAACUAAGGAGGUAAUUUUGUCCAUAGGGUGGGACGGAUUGGCCCUUGAUUUCACCUUAUUUACAAGAAACCCAUCAGAUUUGGGCUGGGUUGGGAAGGUAAUUCUUAAAAGUUAGGAGGGUAAUUUUGUCUCUGAAUAAUUUCAAAAUAUUUACGGUUUUACCAGGAUGCUGCUUUCCCGAGUGGAUUUCUUCCUCUCUCAUCAGCUUUCUCUCUUUUCAUUUCAUCUUCGCUCAAGUUUCUCUCAACCCUAACCGUCCCUCAUAUUUGUCUCUUCACUAAUCAUUUAGAUGAACUCCUCUCGCACUGCCUUUUUUUUUGCUGUCUACUGUUUCCGUCUUUGUCUCGACGAUCAUCUGCUGCCCUUUUUGUUACUGGAAUAGUCUUCUGCUCCUACGAAUGUCUUUGGUUUGAAACCCUUAGUUGGCUACAAGUUUUUGCCGUUUUCGAUUUCAUCGAAAUUCAUUUUUUUCCUCGCGUGAUCUAGCAUCUUCUGGUGAUUUUAAGGUCUUUUUCAGUGUGCCUAAUUUAAUUUCUUUUUUGUGGUUUUCGAUUUGCAGGUGGAUGUUUGAUUUUUUUUUUCCUGUGAUUUUGGGGGGUUAUGUCUCUGUGCUAUGAUCUUGCGUGUGGUUGUCUAAUUUGUUUCGGUUUUUGCUUUCAGGAAACGAUGCUAGCGAGGAAUCGCCGCCACCAACAGAACUUGUAGACUUGGACUAUCAGAUUCUCACUCAACCCGAGUGGUGCCGGUGUUGAGAAGCUCACCAAGAGCAGGCCCCGUACCACCGCUGCCAUCUCCAUUGUUUGGGGAAAAUCCAUCGGAGAAGAUAAGGACUCCAUCUUCUCCAAAUUAUCAUUGUUUAUUUAAUAUUUUAUUAUUGUAUCUUUAAUAAUUCCUUACCACUACAUUCAUUAUUUAAAUGUUAGAGUGAAACUUUAAUCAUUCAUGGCAGGGUACAAAUACAGAGUGUAAUAUACACCCACUAUCUCACUGUCUGGAAAACUCACUAAGAAGAUAAGAGCAUGUGUAUCUUCUUUACAGCUCAUUGUUUAAUAUUUUAUUAUUAUGUUGACCUAAAACAUAUCACAUCACAUACCAUUUUAUUAUUUAAUCCAUUAGACACAUGGGUAGGCGGAUCACAUUCACCUAAAACCCUCUUUAAUCCGUUCACCCACUACAUCAUUUUGAGUAUUAUUGUAUUAUUGCAACGACAAUUUACAAGAAUAAGCAUUACUAGAUGUACACCCACUACAAGAAUAAGCAUUUCUGAUUAAAUUAUUAUUUUUGAUAAACCCAUUUAGAAUCUGAUCUGGGUUUUGUCUGGAUUCCAGGGUAAAAACUGUGAAACUUAAAGUUGGUUUGAUCUGGGUUUUCCAAGUUCUGCAUGGAACUGUUGGCUGCUGCUGCUCCGCUCCCACAAUGCUCAUUUUUUACACAUUGCUUCGUUGAUCCGAUCCCCGCUCCAAUCUGCCAAACAGGUUCGUCCCCCCUCCCAAAUCCCUAAUUCGUAUUGUUUAUUUUUGUCCGAAUUUUGAUCUGAUUUUUUUUUCCAUAUUUCCAGUAAAUCAUUUGUUAUUCCUUCUCAUCUCUCUCAAGUGCUUUCACUGAAAUUUUAAGUUCUUGGAUCGUAUUUUGUUUCUGAUUUUUGUUUGCGUUCAGUGUGAUUUUGUGUGAAAGAAUCAAAGAUGUUGGGAAUUUUAAGGCAAAAAGUGGGAGCUGGAAGCUCAUCAGCUAUGGUACACCCUCUACUUCUGCAAUUUAUGAACUUUCAUUAUAUAAAACACUUGAUUAAUUUAUUAUUAUGUGAUUUACUGCCUAAUCUUUGUGUUGGUUCAGAUUUUGGGGCAGAGGAUCCGCCCUGCCACAUCGGCAAUGAGGGGUUGCGCAUCUUUGGCGAAAGAGGUAAUCUGACGCCUACCAUCAUCUAAUCUUUGGCAUUUAUAAUCCAUGCGAUUGCUUAACAAAAAAUUUGUGGUUUUUGCUUUUUUAGAAGAUUAAUUUUUGUAUAAAAUAUAAAUCUUAUAAACAUUCUACCCAUUGUUUAGUUUAACGAAUUUUGUAGUGUUAGUUCUGCACCAUUCCAAUUUGCCUUUGAUUGGAUAAAUAAUAGCAUUGUUUAGCUAAUUUGCAAAUUUCCUCAUAUUCCUCAGCAUUUUUAGUCAAAAAUUUUAGAUUUUACAGAUUUUUCCAGUUCAGGAUGAUAAAAUUUAGGGCUUUGAUUUGUUGAUGUGAUUUCCACGUACUCUGAAUUCAAAUAGAAAUGCAAGGAUAUAUUAGAUGUGUGAGUAAAUUUUCAGUCUUCAUAUAUUUGUUUAACCCUUAACGAUACGUGAAUUAUUGAUUGAUAAUUUGAUAAUAUGUAUGCUAUUAUUGAUUAAGAAAAAUUAAUUCGUUAAUUUGUAGGGCUUGGUUGUUUUGGCAUGUUGAUGUUAUAAAGCUCAUUUUUAUAGUUAGGUUGAAGAUCAUGUUAGUAGAUUUUUUUUUUGGUUGGUUCGGAUCGGGCAAUUCCGGAGGCCCUGCCAUCGAGGUUAGUCUGAAGCAAUUCCUAUCUUAUUACUUAUUACAUGUCAAAAUCUGCUUCAAAUUUGUAAUUUAAUAUAAUUGGGCUUUAGAAAAAAAUUCAUGAUUUUGUCUAAUCCAAUUGAGUGAUUAGAAAAAUUUUCAUCAAAUUUCUGGGUUCCUGGGGGGUUCUGAAUCUUGAUGUUGAGAGAGCUUGGUUGCUUUAAUUGCUAAUGAAAUUAGCUUCUAAACAUUCAUAAUUUGCUUUUUUAUUUUCGUUCUAUAUUUUCUUUGAGUUCAGACCCUGCGUAAAGCGGAAGCCUUGUGCACUGGGUACGACCUUUUUAUUUUCUUUGAGUUCAGAUAUAUUUGUUUUUUUUUUUUUUGUGAUAUAUUGCCGAUGCCAAAAUAUCAUAUUUACAAGGACAAAGAUAGCAAGGUUCUAAAUCAAAUUUUUAUCCUGGUUCUACUGUUGGGUUCACUAUCAAUAAAAGGCACAUGAAAUAUGGUAUUGAUUUUAGAGCCUUUGAUUUCUCAGAUUGUUUUCAUAUAUCGAAUGUCAUCUGAAUUUAAUUGUAGUUAAUUUGUCAAAGUUUGUUGUUGUUUAGCUUUUUCAAAUGGCAGCCUUAGUAUUUGCCCGGUAUUUUUUGUGAAUUCCAAACUUUGCUUAUAAUUGUAGGUACGUAAAAGCUGCCAAUUGGAUUUGUUCCCCAGAUGAUAAUGGCAUACCUAUAUAAUGGUUGUUCUUUUGCUUUGAUGUAGAAGUAAGAAAAUUGUUUUGCCCCUUAUGUAUCCUGCUUCUUUUUGUCCGUGUGUUCUUUGUUCAAAGGUUGGUUGGUUGUUAAACUUGCUGCUGUAGAAGAGUUAAUUUCUGGUAGGCAGAUGAUUAUAGUGUUGUUCCUAUUAUGCAUAAGGUCGUGGUAAUAAUAUUGUGAGAUUUUAUGUCUGCAUAAAUCCUGUAGUGGUUUUGAUAAUCAGAAAGUAAUCUCUCAACUUCUUUGUGAUUAUAGUUGCUUUGAUACUGUCAUAGGGACUUUUAUCAUACUUACAAAUUGAUUUUGAUAUAUCCAUUCGUAGGUUUAAAAUUUUUGUCAAACCCAAAAGUUACCUUGCUGGGUAUAUUUAAAAAGUAGUUUAAUUAAUCAAUAUUACUGUGGUAGUUUUCAAGUAUUUGUUAAUUGGAAUUAAUCCUUUUGGUUUUAUUUUUAAAAUUACAUAUCUGUGGUAAGGAGAGAUACCUAUUGAAGUUUUGAAUUUCCAUUAAAUCUGAUCAUCAGGUGCUUAAAGAUUUGAAUUUUUAAAGUGGUUCCACAAAACCUACGAAGUGGUUCCACAAAAAUCUGCAAAGUAGACGUUAUGUUGCUUGCAGCAGUAGAUUGUUUAGGGUUUAGGGUUUAAUUAAAAAAGAUAUACAAAAAAAAAAACUAGGUAAUGAGGCACUGAAUUGGGUUUGAGAGUUUUGAUAUUAUGAGAGAGGUAGGGAGUAUAUAGGGAGAGAGGGAGGUAGGUGAUUUGCAGAAAUGGAGGGUGAGAGAAAAAGGGGAGAAAAGGGGUAGUACAUUCUAUUUUGAUUUUAUAAUUUUGGGGGUUUUGUGUUUAAACUUUUUUAGUACUUUUUUGUAGAUAUAGCCUACAAAUGUUGAUCCAAAGGUUGGACAUAAUCAUUACUUUAAAGUUAAUUAUAUUAUCUAAAGUUGAUUUGAAUGUGAUGAUGAUGUCAAUGUAUAUGUAAAGCAGAAGUUUUACUCUUUCGUGUUGUUUAUCUCAAUCUAGCUCUGGUAUUUUGAGGGUCUCCGAGAAUACAAUAUACUGUGACUCGGGUCUCAUAGCUUUCUUGCUAUAUGAUAUCAUAUAAGUAAAUGCUAGAAUGCUAAAUUUUAACCAAGACCAUACUCACAAGCAAAAUACAAAUACAAAAGUUCAUUUUAAAAUGAAGGUUGUGAUUUAUCGAAAGAUGUUCCGUAAACAUAGGAAUUAUGGAUAUGUAGGCAUAUGUAUUUUAGCAUUAUGUGAUGAAUAGGUUUAUUUUUUCUUAAAUUAUUUUUCUUUGGGUAUUGCAUGUCAUGAUCACCACAGUGAUGUUUGAUGUUCUUCUUCAGGUGCUUCUUGGGGAUGUUGGAGCUGGGAAAUCGAGUCUGGUGUUGUGCUUUGUAAAAUAACAAUUUGUUGAAUUUCAGGUUUGUUCUAUAUCUUUCAAAGGACGCAUUUUCUUUUUUAUCCAUACCUGUACUUUUAUAGUAUGUUAUUACCAGAAUCAAUUGCCACCCUUAGUUGGUGGUAUUAUCUUUACAACACAUUCAAAGCAGCGAAUAAAAUCGCACUUGCUAUUUGUUCUGUCAACUGGACUACUAAAGUAGAACUAUAGAAAUAUCUGGUGAAAGCAAUGAAGAAAUCACUAUGAUUGAUCUGCAAAGAAGCUCUAAUAAGUUACAAGAGAGUAGCAAUGUAAAUUGAACUGUUUAUUUUGGGGAUCAAUUCACCUAUCUCUUGCUUUUUCUUUCAUUUGGAGAUAAUUGUGUAAAUGUGUUGUUUUGUGAGCGUUACUAAUGUAAAACGUGUGUUAUCUGAAUUGCUACAUUUAAGAAUGUGAUUGUAUUCCUGUAGCAUUUUCAGUUAAUUUUGCUAUGAAUAUUAUUCAUGGUUUGAAAACCCGCAGCAAAGCGCGAGCAUUCCUACUAGUGAUAUCGAUUCUGGAAGCAUGCUAAAACAAGGCCGUUUGGCCGCAAUUCACAAGAAUUGCUCUGCCUCCGCCUCCGCCCCGCCCUCGCCCCCCCUCGGCCGCCGCCGUCGUCGCUGCCCGAGCAGUUCAAAUUCAAACAACAACCCCAAUUAGGCUUCCACAACAUCAACAACCCUUGCGUUGAUCUGUACUUUCAUUGUGCCAAGGGACAUGACGCCAUGUCGAUCGUGGAAAUCCACGAAACUCUGAUGAACCAAGUGCUUCCCUCGUCCUGGUCGCAUAAUCCUCUAACCACCCUCAAACUCAUUUGCGCGACGAUGGUGGAAAACGCAACCAAGACGAAGCUUUCUUCACGGCGGCUGUUUGGCUCCACCAGAACCACCCCAAAACCCUUGCCUACAAUCUCGUGCCAAUUUCCAGCUCCUUCGGACAUAUCCUAGACCUUCCCUGCAUUCUCUCGCAGGUUCUACGGGGUGAAGCUUACUUGAAAUUUACUAGGAGGACGAGGGAGGAGGCGGAUUCAAACGGAAUGGUGAAGGUCAAGGAAAAGGACGCCAAGUCAAAGGCAAGUGAAUUGUUGUUGAGGAGGAAUGCGAUCCGCACGGCCAACAAGGCGGCUCAGAGAUACGAGCGCGACGCUGAUUACCGCUUCUUGCACGAUCGUGUUUCAGAUAUUUUCGCCCAGUGCCUCAAGUCUGAUAAAAAAUUUCAUCAUCACAAGGACCAUGACCAUGACCAUCAUGAUGAUUACUGCUUGGAGAUUACCUAAGCGGCUACCUUUUUGCCUACCAUUGCUGAUCAUCUUAUGUUGUUCGUAAACAUUGCAAGGAAGGUUUUCCUGCCAGAAUCAUGCCUCCGAGAAAGGGAUGGUAGUGUUUGUUGUAUUGACCGACUGAGGAAGAAGGUUUUGUUGCCCUUGAGAAAAACUAUGGCGCCAGAGGGUUGGGAACCUGCCUAUCGGUGGGGUUAUAGAGCAGAGUACAAGCUAGAGCAUCUGGCUGCAGCCAAUGAGAUUGAUCCUGGCAAUGCUGCACUGCUUCCGCAUGACAUAUUAAGCUAUAUCAAGUAUCCUGAGCUCGAGUAAGAGGCUGAUGUUAAGUGGAAGAAAAUGGUGGAGGUCUACUCAAAGCAGAGGAAGCUGAAGAAUUGGCUGGCUGUGUGAUGUCGACAACACCUUGUCGGCGGGUUUGGCUUUGGGGCUUUUGUUGCCACAGUUGAGUGACGAGCCAUAGAAGGGAAAAGUGGUCACCUAAAGCAAACCCUCAGCUGCAUUCGAUACAAGGCGAGGUUCUUAAUUCGAGGGCCGAAUAUAUGCAGACUUUGAUCAAAAGCCAGGACUGGACGACUGAUUUUGGGAAGGUGUUCGCUGUGAUUCUAGAAAAGGCAAUGAAUGCCGAAUUUGAAGCCAGAUAAGAUGGUCAAUAAGGUCCUUGCCUUGACCACAUACAAACACUCCUUGACAGGCAGCAACUUCAGCUUCUGGGGGGAGACUAAGAUGUCUCCCUUUCUUCUUCUAGUUUCUGCUACUAAGUGUGUGUGUGUGUGUGUGUGUGUGAUUAAUACUUUUGUAGAGGAGCAAAGUGAGUGACAAGAACUAAAAAAGUGGGACUGAGUGACAAGAACUAAAAAAGUGGGACUAGAAAAAGGUAGGCUUAUAACGUUCAAAUUCUAACGGUCACUUUCAGUGGAGGCAAUAGAAACGAAUAAAAUGUGGGGGUUGGACUUGUUGCCUCAAGUGAUCUGGCACUGGCACUUCCAAAUGUAAAGAAACAAGGCACAAAGACAACUAGACGAGCACCAUAGCCUUAAACGGGUUGAUCUUGCUUUGGAAUUUUUCAUUGAUCCGAGGUUAUUUUUCCGAGGUUAUUUUUCAACUGAGAUUUGCUUUGGUGAGCAUGAACUUCCCUACAUUUUGGUUUUACUCGGCCCCACCGUUGAGACCACUCAUGUGAGAAAGGUGACACUUGCAUGGCAAUUUAACCAAAGGUUUUCUUUAGGUGACACUGAUCAACCAACAAUUAACAAUCACUCAUGUAAUAGAGUUGGCUUAUGCAAAAUCCCUACCAAAGAGUCAUAUUAGGGUGACAUCGUAAUCAGUCAUAUUAGGGUGACAUCGUAAUCAAUCAACAAUUGACAAUAACUCAUCUAGAGAAAACUCGUGGCUUUUGUUUAUAGGCAUCUACUAAGAUUGCUUAUGUUUUAUUAUACAUACUUGGCUAUCAAAUAGAAAAGGGUGGUGCUAUUCACACCUAUUUUGACCUCCACCUACUCUUCUCAUUUUUCGGCCGUCGGAUCGAAUAAAUUAAAAAAGACCAAAAGACAAACUUACCAAAAAAAUGUGUGAGAAGUUAAAAUGGGAGUGAAUAACACCAACUAUAGAAAAAGAAACAUCCAUUUUUUUCCCUUUUGAUUAAAAGAGGAGAUAUACACCGCAACAUACUAACACAAAAUUGACAUGUAAGUUUGACUCAAAUAUCUAUAAAAUCGUAUUUAUUUUAGAUAUACAUCAUCAUAGCCAAAACCUUAGGCAUAAAAGACCCAAGGACAAGUACAUGGGUGCACAAAAGGAUAAAAGGCGUUCGGAAAUCAUUUCCCAUUAUUUAUCACAUUCCUUCUCCUAUAAUGCCAACGAGCAGUGAUUGAGUGACGUUUACUGGAGAAGGCGCAAGGUCAACCCCGGAGGUGUUAGCAUUACUUGCAUCGCUGCCUUCGGGCUGAUAGUUGAGGCGAACAUUACUAUGCUUGGAUGCAGUUGAUGGGGUAUCAUCCUCCACCAAAAAUCUACCUGUUGAAAAUGUUGUUACAUCUUUAAAAUUAUAAUCUGUCAAAUAGUUUGGCUUCGACAUAACAGUGCCUAUGUCAAUGUCUCCAGAGAGCAUUGCAACCAAGCGUGACAUAGAUGGCCUCGCCAUCGGUGAUCCCUGCGUGCACAUGAGAGCUGCUCUUAUCAAUCUAGUUGCUUCAGUUUCAUCAAACUCUGUCAAUCUCGGAUCCAUUAGCCCCAGAGUUUGGUCGUUUUCAUGUAGAGUCCAUACCUGAAAAACAUUAUGCCACGAUCAAAGGAAAUUAUAAAUAAGUUUUUCACAACAAUGCCUAAAUGAGGCUAGGCGUAUGCAAUUCCUACCCAUUCAAGAAGAUAAAUCUUUUCUGGAUCCAAGUUAUUGUACGAGUUUGGUCUCCCGCUGAGGAUCUCCAAAACAACGACUCCAAAACCAAACACAUCGACCUUCUCUGUCAAAUGUCCAAACAUUGCAUACUCCGGUGCCAAAUAGCCUCUGCAAUGCAAGAUAAUCAAAUGGUUGCACAAUGUUGUUUGAGAUCAUUAGAGGCAUUAUUAACAUGUGUUAAAAUUUCAUGCAAGUAUAAAUGUGUGGCCAUAAUGAAUGUAUCCUCUGGAAAAACAAAUGGUUGCACAAUGUUGUUUGAGAUCAUUAGAGGCAUUAUUAACAUGUGUUAAAAUUUCAUGCAAGUAUAAAUGUGUGGCCAUAAUGAAUGUAUCCUCUGGAAAAACAAUAAAGGUUGGCUUACAUUGUCCCUGCAACCCGGGUGCUGAUGUGGGUUUUCUCGUCAUCAUAAAGCUUUGCCAGUCCAAAAUCUGAUAUUUUUGGUGAGAGUUUUGCAUCGAGCAAAAUAUUACUUGCUUUGACAUCUCGAUGUACAAUCCUUGGCCUUGACUCCUCAUGAAGGUAAGCAAGUCCUCUUGCUGUUCCCAACAAUAUAUUGAAUCGAGUAGGCCAGUCAAGGUGCAAGUUACUUGUUCCUGAAAUAUUAGUGAACACAUCCAAUCAAAAACAUUUCUUAACAAUUUUAGAGUGCUUGAAACUGCAGACAAUGAUGUUUCUAUGCAACCUAAAAGUAGAUAGGUUUGUACCAAAAAGUGCCUGAUCAAGGCUCUUGUUUCCAAGAUACUCAUAAACCAAAAUGCGGUGGCUGCCUUCGAUGCAGCAUCCGUACAAUUUCACUAGAUUCCGAUGUUGCACAGCAGAUAUGGUAGCAAUUUCAGAUACAAAUUGACUCUUCCCUUGGUGAGAUGCUACUGAAAGUUGCUUCACAGCCACUACUCUCCCAUCAGAAAGUGUACCCUACAAUGUACACAGAAACACAAUUUAGUGACAUGAAAGGAAAGAAAAAAAAAAGUUUUAUUUUCUUCUCUCGCUUGCUCGCUCUCUCUCCCUUUCUCUUGUCAUUACUUUAAGUACAUGAUAAUGAUGUAAUACGGAUUUCACCUUAUAAACAGGGCCAUAUCCUCCCUCUCCUAACUUAUUUGAAGGAUUAAAAUCUUCGGUUGCAGCUCUCAACUCAGCAUAAUUGAAAGUAUUUGGUCGAGGGCCUAAUCCUAGAAUAUCUGCACAUUCACGAAACAGUGUGACAUAAGUUUUACUUUCGUGAAAGCAUUCUUACUUGUGUGUGUUAAUGUCAAAGCAGAGAAACCUGAAUUGGAUACCACUAAUAAUAUGGUUGUUUACCUUCGUCGUCCUCUUUUUCUGAUUUUUUCCUCCUGAUAUAUAGAAUCGCAAAUAUUAAUAGUAAGCUCACAACUCCAACAGGAACUGCAAUACCAACUAUCAACCCAGUCCUGCUCUUCUUUCCUGGAGUAGUUGAUGGAAGCCUUGAAACUGUUGGUGUAAAAUCUGAGUGAUAAAAUAGACGAAUUCUUCAGUGUCAAUUAACAGCAGAAAAAUACAUUUAAACCACUCACAGGAAAUCUCUAUAAGUUAACACAUACUAUACCUGAAGCAGCAUGGACAGCUGCUAUUAGUGGGCCGUAAUCACCAUUAUCGGGUAUGCAACAAGUCCCUUUACCAACCCAGAACAUAUGAAUUUCAAGAUAAUUCUCUAACACGCUAACAUUAAAUUUUCUCACAACUGCUCGGUUAACGCCACCUGCCUCCUUCGAUAUGUCAAAGUCCUUCGUCCUACAGGUACCCUAGCAAACCAAAUGAAGAGGUAGGUGAUAAUUCUAGUCUCCUUUAAAUCACCGUCUUUAGUUAAUGUAGCUUAAAACAUCGAAAACCUGUCCAAUGAGGUGUUUACUUAAAAUAAGUUAGAAUUUUUAUUCUAUAAGCAGUCUUACCUGAAUAUAGAUAUCAAAUACACGCCGUCCUAGACUUUGCCAAGUUUGCGAAGUGCGACUUUCAUAAACCGUCUCUGCAAAGUGCAAUGUUACAGUGUAGAGCCCAUUCUCAAGGCCCAGGCCAUAGUAUCUCAGUGAUCCUGGGGACACUCUUGAAGUCUGGAAAAGCUCUGGGGUCACAUUUGUUCCGGUGACUUGUGCAUGAGUUUUUACCAGAAACGGUCGGUCCACUCCGUCAGAAAGCAUACCGACAUUUCUGUAAUAAUCAAACAAACCGGCAUUGCUGACAGCCCAUUUCCAUGUACUGUCUAUACUGAACGUUGCUCGGCCAAGAGCUGAGUCUUCAGUCUCAUACAAUAUGCCAUCACUUCCCGUCAUUUGUUUUCCACCACACUUGAUUGAGAAGUUUGCAUCUGUAAAGUUUCAUGUAAUACCAGAAGCUAGCCAUGAUUAGCGAUGAAACGUCAAAUUGAAGACUCAUACUAAAGUUCUUCAGUCACAUAUUUCUAACCAGUUAUGCGUAUUACUGAACUUGUGAAAACAUGCUUGCAAUCUAUAUCCAUAACUAGAGAAGCAAUGCCUUUUCCUCUAACAUGACGUUGCGUUAAAAUAGUAAAUGAUGGGUGACAUAAGAGCAGAUUACAUCGUGGGGUAUUUCGAUUGCAUGGAAAAUUUCUCUGUAGGCAAUUCAAUCCAGCAAGACUGCAAACACAGAGAACAAUUAUUAGUUAUCCAAAUAGAAUCAUGUAGCGGAAGAGUAGUGAUAGUAUUGCUUGUCUAAAACGAGUAAGAGAAACUUCAACUCACGCUAUGUUUGAACUGUCAAAUGUGAAGUUGUUGACCACUAAGUUCCUGCAUAAAAUCAUUAAUCAAUCAACAUAUGAAGAAAUAUAUCUUUAUCAAAGGAAAAUUCCAUGUACAAGAUCAAAACUUAGUAGGCAGGCAAGUAGCACUGUGAAAACGAAUCUCAGCGAUAAUUUUUAGUCCGAACAUAUUCUGAUGAUUUAAACUGUAAAAUGAAGGUGAAAGAUAAAAGGACACGUACAGUUGCGAUAUUGCGGACCCCCACUGGGGAAAGCUUCCUGAUAAAAAAUUGUAAGACAAAUCUCUGCAAAUAACAAACUAGAAUCAGAAGACACAAAAUGCAUGAAAGUUAUUAAGAACUUGUGUAAGAUAGGAUUAGAAUGCUUACGAUUAUACACAAACACAUAAAUGCACCGUGCAUUCUUCAUGACUACUUUAAGAAACGAGGACUUACAUAGUCUGAAGUUGAUUGCUCUUUUGGCUCGGAAGAGGUCCGGACAGACUAUUGUUUCCAAGAAACCUGGCCAUUUUGAUUAUAGUAGAAGGCACCCAGAAAAGAAAAAGAGAUGAACAAACAAAAGGUCAGAUGUGCACAAAAUCUAGAAGGAUUAGAGUACGACUUAAAUCAAAGUAGGGAAUGUUGAAGAUUUGAUAACUUAUGUAUGAUAAGGCAAGAAAAAGAUAAUAAUAAGGACGGGGAUUACAAGGAUGUAAGAGAACUCAAGCUGAACAAGGAACUUGGGAGUUGGCCUGUCAAAUCGUUGAAACUCAGAUCCCUGCAACACUAACGAUAAGUAUCAGAAUGAAAGAAAACUAAUUGGUCUCGUUGGGACUCAAGCUUAUAUUUGCUGGUACAUACAGUGUCUGUAGACUUUGAUUUUCUCCAAUAUCAGAUGGGAUGGUACCAGUGAUUAAUGCGUUUCGUAGUCUUCUGUAUUCCAAAAACAUAAAAUUUGAUAAAAAGUAAAUGGAGUAAGAUAUCAAAUUUCAGAAGGAAAAAGAAGUUAGAUGAAAGUAUCUGGAUCGAUGAGAAUCUUCACUUACAAUUCAGUCAAGCUUGUCAGAUUUUUUAUGAAAUCAAGAGAGGAGCUCCCAUUGUAUAUAUCACUGAUUCGCCUACAUCAUUAUAUGCAAAAUAAACUGAAAUCCCAUCUUCGGAGAAAGAGAGAGAAUUACAAUUUAUGAAACAUUUGUACUUAGAAAGAGAGAGAGAAUUACAAUUUAUGAAACAUUUGUACUUACAGUGUUCAAUGAGGUCAGUUGAGAAAAGCUGGUUGGUAUAGGGCCUUCGAAAGAGCUCCCUUGAAUUUGCCUACAGAAACAUAUAAGAAGCUUGUCAACUAAUUAUCCAUCUCAGGUCUGCUUUCAUAAACUGCAAAAGAUCAAAGGUUUCUCUACUUACAAAUCAUAGAGUUGUGUCCAAUUCCCUAUGAAAUCUGGUAUCUUUCCUGAGAAAGGACUGUCCAAUGCCCGGCUAAGCUCAUCCAAGAAAAGCAAUCUCAAAGUACUGGAUAAACGAACAAAUCUAAAAUACGAUUUAAGAGCCAUUCUUACAAGACUUGCAUGUUGGUGAGCUUGGCAAAUGUUGAAGGAAUUUCACCACUGAGUCCACAGCUGUCCAUGUAACUGUGAAAAUCAUAAGGCAACCGAUUAAGACCCAUUUUCAUAAAGUGCAAUUUUUGCUCAUCCGUGAGGAAUUAACAUGUAAAUCAAAUUUAAUGAUUUAACGAAGCACUUACAUUUCCUCGAGCUUGACUAAAUUACCAAGUUCUGGAGGGAGUGUUCCGGAGAAAUUAUUUGGUCCGAUGUCCCUGCAAGUCAUGUUGAACGGGCAAACACUUACUUGAAAGCAAUUAUUGAAGAGUGAUAGAAGGUUCUGUUGAAUGGUAAGUCUAUAGCUGUUAAAAUACAAAGUGUGCAGCUCUAAUGUAGUAAGGCAAAUAAUGCCAGGUGUACUGAUCCUAGCAACUAGCUAGAUGUAAGGCUGAGAUUGUUUUGUGAAGAGGGAGAAUCCACCUUGGAUUCUAAUGGUUAUGUAAAGCACAGAGUGUGUGUGAAUUGUAGAGAGAUGAAGAGAAUAUGCUCUGCUAGAUUUUGCAGAGAGAAACCUUCAGAAAAUUCUUCCAUUGUUAUCCUUCUCAUUUUCUGUUCUUCGAUUGUUCAUGCAUAACCAGAUUUUUAGCUUAUAACCAUAGGUUCUGUAUCUAAUGUUUACGACACAAAAUUUUACUGUACACUCUCUAAUUUUUCAUGGCUUACAGCACAGUUAGCUCCGUAAGGUUUCCAAGCUCCUUGGGGAUGGACCCAGAGAAUGAAUUGACCCUAAUUGACCUGAAUGGAGAUAUCAGUUAGUGAAAGAUAAGCACUAUUAAACUUAAUUACAUUACAUAACAAGAAACUAGUACUGCAUUAUUCAAUAAAAGCAUAAUGAUUUUUUUGUAGAUUACGGCAUAAAUAGUAGCAAAAAGGUGUAAAGAACAUAACUGUAGAUUAUGAUAUUCAAAAUGAAGUAUACAAAUUGCUACGGGUCUCAUUAGAAGUAUGAGUACUUAAAGAAAUGUUCUCUCACUACUUACAAGUGAGUCAAUGCAGCCAUAUUGCCAAUGAAUGCCGGUAGGGGACCGGUGAAAUAAUUCUGAUUGAUCCUCCUACAAAAAUUGAAAGGAAGUGUAAUCGUUAACUCUUAAUCUUACAACAUCACCAUAUUUUUGUUGAAAUCCCACAUCGGCUAGAGAAAUAAAGAAGGAAAAGUUUAAAUAUCUAAAUCUCACUCAAACUAAUGCGGAGGCCUUUUGAGAUAAACCCCACACCUGAUGGAUUGUGCAUGUGGUAAUUACCAAGUUGGAGACAGUAUCAGUGUUGUUGGAAGUGAGUUUUUGGCCCGUUCUCUGAUAAUUCUACAAUUUUUAAUAUCCAAUAUAUGAUUUUAAUGAACCAAAAACAGAGAAGGGAGUUGAAAAGAAUUCAUACAUAUAUGUGAGAUAUCUCAGAGCCACAAAUUCUUCUGGAAACACCCCUCGUUUGUUAAGAGCAUACACUCCUGGAAAGCAAAAAGAUUGAACAUUUAGAACUACAUAAAAUGGAGCGACACAGUCAAAUUAUGACGUCAAUAUAUAUAGGUAGCAAGUGAAAAAUCAGCAGUGGCAUGGAAAUCUUGUUCAUAAGGAGAGAGUAGUUUGACAUACAGUUUGGUGAUGUGGCAUGUAGUACCGUUGUCGUAAGUACAGUUGCAAACGAUGGCUGGGUUGAGAUCGUGGUUGUUAUUGGGGUUCUCAAAUUCGGUACUGUUGAUGGCAGAUCCACUGCAGGGUUCUCCACUGAUAUUCCACAGCCCCGGCACUGCUUUUGUGUCCCAUUGUUCAAAUAUUGAGUUCAACGCCCUCACUGCACUCUCACUUAAUUCAGUCCUUGUGUGUAUUACAUUAUAUCACACCAUAAUUUGACUUGUCUUACCACUUACCAGACUAUCUCGAACCAAACGAAAGAUCAAAUGAUUAUUACAAAUGAAAAUUACCCUUAAUUUGGAUGUUUAGUAUAUGGGAAGAAAAAAAGCUUUACAAAUAAGUUCCUCGAAACUUCAUUUCAUAUAAUCGAAAACACUUAAAAUGUCAUUUUGUUGAGGGAAAAAAGCCCAGUUCCUGGUCAAAAACACUUAAAUGUGGCAAAGUGUGUGUCUAGGGGGGGGGGAGAGAGAGAGAGAGAGAGAGAGAGAGAGAACCUUCAGAUGGAUCAGUGGUAGCCUUUUGAGCAAAGGACAGCUGAAAGCAGAAGCAGCUGAGGAAGCAGAGUAAUAGUAUCCUCAUCAUCAACUUCAUCUUCAUAUCGUACAUGUGCAGAACUUGCUCUCCUCGACGGCGUGAACUUAAACGACCAACACUUAUAUUCCGACUGGCUGAAUCAUGCAUUGCAUGUAAGAAGAAGACCAUUAGAUUUUAGUCAAAUAUUGACAACGUAAACAUAUAUAAUCUUUAUAUAUAAAGUCAAGGCUCAAUGAACAGUGUUUUUGGGUGUCACAAGCUUCACACCAAAAUAAUUAGACAAAAAUGUCUCUCAAACAAAAAACUUCAAAAGCAAUCCAAAAUAAUGCAUCAAAUGUGGCAGGGGUAUUUUCUUCAUUUUAAUAGUGUUUUUUUAAUAAUUAAUUUUUUGUAGUUUUUUUUUUAAUAAUUAGUACCUCACAAUAGGCUAAUAAUAAUAUGAUUCAAACAAUUGUUCAUUAAAUAUUAUUUUCUCUAUUUUUAAACAUGUUCAAAACAUCUUAAGAGACUGUAAUGCCGAUUAUAAAAAGUCUUUCGCGGAUAAUAAUGUGAUUAAAUUAGUUGUCAAAUAAUUUUUUUUUGACAAACGAUAUUAUCUACAUUAAGGGAGGGGGUGAGCUUAGUCUCACAAUAGGCUAGCAAUAAUGUGAUUCAAUCAGUUGUUUAUUAAAUAUUAUUUUCUCUAUUCUUAAUAUAAAUUCAAUAGAGACUGAUUUUAUUAUGUGGAUUUAGCUGCUUUAAUUGGUUUAUGAGAGGUUUCUUCUAGCAUGAUCUAAUAUUAUUCAUUUACUUCAAAUAUUUGACUUUCCUUUUGUCAAUUUACGAAUAUAAAUACAUUUAAAAUGUGUAAGUCACGUGUAACACGCCAUGAUUCAAAAAAUGCCUUCUGCACGCGUGUGAGCACGUGCAUGAAGGCUAAGAGAGGGUAAUUUACAAAAAAUUACAUCAAUUAUGAGUCGAAUCAUAAUCUCAUACAUUAUGUUUUAAAUAUUGCAAUGUCAUACCUCAACUUAUAAAUUCGUUGUAAUGUCAUACCUCCGUUAAAUUUUCUGUCAAUCUGACUGUUAAAUGAUGAUAUGACAGAAACGAGACCCGCUUUUUGGACAACUUGAAUAAAAAUUUAAUUAAUUAUUAAUUUUUUAUUUGACAAUUAAAAUUAAAAUUAACUUUAAAAAUAAAAAAUAAAAACCUCUCCUCCUUGUUCCGUGGAAAUCGUCCCCGUUCUCCCAUCACUCCUUCCUCCGCUCCCCUUCUUCCUCGUCCUCCUUAAACACAGCUAAUUUUCGUCCUCCUCCGGGAACAACUGAUACACCGCCGAUCGCAAAACGCAGGUGGGUUUCGAUGGCAAACCAAAACCAGACCCAAAUCAUCUUGCUCCAACAGUCUUUACAUAAAACUAAUUUGAUUUCUUCAUCAUAAGUUCACUAAGAUUUCGCAAAACUGAGCAUUAGAAACCAUCCCCUUAUCAUUUUCCCUCUCUUCAAAUCCCAUCACCGACUGGGGCUUUCGCCCCACUGCCAUUUCUUCAAUUUCUUCUUCUUCUUCUUCACCAUUUUUCUAACAAAAACCACCAAACAAAAUUGCAAAGGGAGAGUUCCAGAAAGCCAAAACGAAGAACCCCACAAAAACAAAACCCAAAACGAAUAACACAAAUACAAACCCAGAAAAUUCAAGAAAUUAGAGAAAAUUAAAUUUUUUUUUAAAUUAGAGAAAUUAAAAUUUCAAAAAUUCAAGAAGUGGUCAUUUGAAAAUUCGCCCAGAACUUCGGAUUUUCGAAAUCCUCCAUAAUAUUAAUUGAAGAAUGGAAGUUCAUUAAAGCCCAAUUUUUUUCUUUUUCUUUCCCCUUUUUUCCUUUUGAUGUUGAUUCGAAGAGAAAGAAUGAAAGAGAGAGCAAAUCCUCUGAUGCGGGGAUGUGGGGGAAUCUGGUGGAAGGAGGAUAUGGGGUGGCUGGGGUCCAUGGAUAUGGAUUAGCUAUGGCAGAUCAGCCUUGGCAUCUAACAGAAUGAGAAUUUUGAGUGCAAAACAAAAUUUUUAGAGUGCCAAUAUAAUAUUUUAUUGUUUUAAAAUUAAUAGUCACGUUUUUCUUUCUUUAACAAAAACAUGGAAAGGUACAUUGAAAUAAGUAAUUAUCAGUAGCGUACUACGUAAUUUUCUCAUCUAUAUAGCCUAUUGUUAAGGAAUUUCGUAUGUCUUAAUUGAGACUGAGAUAAUUUUGUAUGUAUGUAAACAACAUGCUUUCUCUCGGUCCAUGUAUUUGCUACUAACGUCUUAAUUGGGAACGACUAAAGUAUUUUUGUAUAUAUAUAAACUUACUUUCUCUUGGUCCAUAUAUUUGCCAGUAACAUCUUAAUUGGAACUUAGAUACUUGAUUUUUUUUUCGUAAAGUGAGAUACUUUUGCUUUUUUUUAGGUAAAGUGAGAUAUUUUGCUUUUUUUAGGUAAAGUGAGAUACUUGAUUUUUUUUUCGUAAAGUGAGAUACUUUUGUUUUUUUAGGUAAAGUGAGAUACUUUUGCUUUUUUUUUGGUAAAGUGAGAUUCUUUUGCUUGUAGGUAAACAACUCGAUUUCUCUCAGUUAAUAUAUUUAAUGGUAACGUCGUAAUUGGAAUUGACAUACUUAUCUAUGGAUGUAGACAACUUGCUUUCUCUCAAUCUAUAUAUUUGCCGGUAACGUCUUAAUUAGGACGACUAAGGUAAUUUUGACUUGCUUUCUCUCGGUCUAUAUAUUUGCUAGUAACGUCUUAAUCGGGAAAUGACUUUGCUUUCUCUCGAUCUAUAGAUUUACUAGCAUCUAGAAAAAUUCAUAGUUGCAUACUAGUCAAUGAAUGAAGAUCCAAUUACAGAAAUAUCUAAACUUUAAUUCAAUGUAAUAUUGUUUUCCCAAAAAACAGCACAAUCCCACAAAACUAAAGUAAAAAACAAAACAACAACAACAACAAUAUACCAUGAAUUAAAUUAAAAUUCUCACCUCCACCUCCAGCAGAGCUUUCGCAUUCUCAACCUGUCGCAAAAUAAAAAAUCAAAUCAAAUUCAAGUAAAAAUAAAAAAGAGAACUUGAAUAUAGCAACCCUACUCCCCCCUCUUUCUCCCUCUCCCCCUCUCCCCCUCUCCCCCUCUAACAGAAUGAGAAUUUAGAAUGCAAAACAAAAAAUUUAGAGUGCCAAUAUAAUAUUCUAUUAUUUUAAAAUUAAGUCACUUUUUUCUUUCUUUAACAAAAACAUGGAAAGGUACAUUGAAAUAAAUAAUUAUCAGUAACGUACUACAUAAUUUUCUCAUCUAUAUAACCAGUUACAAAAUUUCUUAUGUCUUAAUUGGGGGUGAGAUAAUUUUGUAUGUAUGUAAACAACUUGCUUUCUCUCGAUCCAUAUAUUUGCUAAUAAUGUCUUAAUUGGGGACGACUAAAGUACUUUUGUAUGUAUAUAAACUUGCCUUUUUUUUUGGUAAAGUGAGAUACUUUUACUUUUUUUUGAUAAAGUGAGAUACUUUUGCUUUCUUUUUUUUUGGUAAAGUGAGAUUCUUUUGCUUUUUUUUGGUAAAGUGAGAUACUUUUGCUUUUUUUUUUUGGUAAAGUGAGAUUUUUUUGUUUUUUUUUGGUAAAGUGAGAUACUUUUGCUUUCUUUUGCUUUUUUUUUUUGGGUAAAGUGAGAUACUUUUGCUUUCUUUUUUUUUUGGUAAAGUGAGAUACUUUUGCUUCUUUUUUUUUUUGGUAAAGUGAGAUACUUUUGCUUUUUUUUGGUAAAGUGAGAUACUUUUGCUUGUAGGUAAACAACUCAAUUUCUCUCAGUUAAUAUAUUUAAUGGUAACGUCUUAAUUGGGAUUGACAUACUUUUCUAUGGAUGUAGACAACUUGCUUUCUCUCAAUCUAUAUAUUUGCUAGUAACAUCUUAAUUAGAACGACUGAGGUAAUUUUGACUUGCUUUCUCUCGGUCUACAUAUUUGCUAGUAACGUCUUAAUCGGGAAACGACUUUGCUUUCUCUCGGUCUAUAGAUUUGCUAGCAUCUAGAAAAAUUCAUAGUUGCAUACCAGUCAACGAAUUAAGAUCCAAUUACAGAAAUAUCUAAACUUUACUUCAAUUUAAUAUUGUUUUCCCCAAAAACAGCACAAUCCCACAAAAAUAAAGUAAAAAAAAAAAAAACAACAACAACAAUAUACCAUGAAUUAAAUUAAAAUUCUCACCUCCACCUCCAGCAAAGCUUUCCCAUUCUCAACCUGUCGCAAAAUAAAAAAUCAAAUCAAAUUCAAGUAAAAAUAAAAAAGAGAACUUGAAUAUAGCAACCCUACUCCCCCUCUUUCUCCCUCUCUCCCUCUCCCCCUCUCCCUCUGCAAUUCACGCGUGCACCCCCUCCCUCUGUAACCCUCCCCGUGAAACCCCUAAACUCCCCAUAACCCUACCACCCUCCCCAGUAUCCCACCCCUGUGAUCUUCACCUUCUUCAAUCUGUCCCAGCGAUUGGAUCUCCGAAAUAUUCUAUUCAUGAAGUACUUGAUAAAGAAACCCACUUUAGUUGGAUCAGUGAUCCCAGCAACUAUUAAAUUUUCAUAGUUUCCAGUGGCAACAUGCAUCCAUAGUUGGGGUUGUCACUUGAAAGCACCUGAGAAAUGAAACUUUAAUUUAUACGAUGAAACAUAUUAAACAGAUAGUGAGCAUAGUAUAUAAAGUGAAACAAAAAAAAAGACUUCUUACUGACAAUGCUUCCAUUUACAACAUCACAUUUGGCAAUUAAUUUCAGAGGGUGACUUAGAGCUCUUUUAACGAUAUCUGCUUCGGCCUGCAAAUUUCAAUAUAAUUUUAGCCAAUAUUCAAUUCAGCAUGUCAUCAUCAAAUAUUUUUUUGAGUCAAAACUGAUAACUAGGGUUGUAGUGUGCUUAACUACAUCUUACAUGAAAUCACUAUGAUUGACAACAAUGAGAACUCGAGCUAUGAGAAACCCUGUUCUUAAAGCCUCAUGCCUUAACUCUUCAAUAAACAUUUCAUUCAGUGCUGACAGCAUACUUAUAGGGAACAGUUCCACCAUCCAGCGGUGUUUUGAUUGCAGGAUGAUGUUUGAAUUUCUAUAAGGAAUAAGGAAUAAAAAUAAAACCAAUAAAUGUUAGCCUAGGAGUAGGACCGAAUAUUUUUUUCAGGUCAGAUAAAUGACUCAGAACUUGGAAAUCACAACCCAAAACACAGAUUAACAAAUGCUAUCAUUUCAGAUUUUCACAUACAACAUAGCAGAUAAGGAAGAGUAAAGAAAAUUAGAGAGAAAUUCGAACAGAAUAAGGAUAACUACCUACGCAUAGACUUACCAUUAUCACCAAUAAUAUUCCACAAAAGAUAUAUAUAUUUGGUGACAAUCAUACAUUUGAUUCCCACAAUAUUUCAUGUCUUGCAUAAAAAUUAGAAAUUAAAAAAAAUUAAAAAAAAAAAAAAAAAACACACACACACACACAAAGAAGAAAAGGGUACCUCAUACUUUCCCUGCAGCUGCUUUUCAAAAGGCAAAAUGCUUUAGAUCUAAGUACCAAGCAAAUAUAGAAGCGAUUCAACAAUUAUCAAGAAAAUCAACCAUGCAAGGAACAAAACUUAGAAACUAAACAAUUAUCAAAACUUGUGAAGAAUGCUAAAUCCAACUAAUUCGAAACAUAGAGUAACCCGAAAGAGAGAAAACUUAUAAAUUCUAUAUAAAUUAUAAUCCUUUAGAGUAAAUCUCCAAUAUCCAUUAUCCAAUUAACCUAAUUGUAUUAAAAACCUAGCAAAUCUCCACUAAAUUAAGCAUAUUUUGCAGUAAAUUAUUUAUCUUUUCACAGUAAAGCAAUAAAAAGAUCAUGAGCAAGUAAAUCUGGACCACUACGAUCAAAAUUCCAGCAAUCAAUAACCAUGAUUAUAAAUUUUGACAAACUUACAGUUGCUACAGCGUUUGACAAUGAUCAGGCAAAAACCGAAUCUUUCGUGGAGCAGCAGAUGUUCUAUCAAAAAAAUGAAUAAUCGAAUUAGUUGAUUAAAUUUACAGAAGAAAGAGAGAGAAGAGGGGAAUGAAGGAGAACAGCAGAAGGAGAUGAAAUCAGAUUCAGAGUUUGAGAGUCAAUUGCUGAAUUUAGAUGGACUGACCUUUUCGAUCAUAGACAGUCAAACUGGAAUGCACAGGGAGAAGCGGAAGAAGAAAAAGAAGAUGGAGAGGGGGUGGUCAAUAGGUUACCCGAUGCUGGUCGAGGUCGGAGUUGACAGAAAUCAACGAAGCCCUGCGCGAUUUCGUCGUUGUGAGCUGUGAGAGAAUACGAUGGUCACAUGACUCAAUGUGACAUCCAUAAAACUUAGUACUACAACACUAAACUUAAAAGGAAAAGUACAGAAGAAUCGAAACCAUUAUAAUUCCUUACAUGAUACUGAAUGUCAGUUAGUUAGAAGAGCCCAAGAAGCAAUUGUUCCAUCUGCUAGCAAUCGGCAUCUCCCCAAUCCAUCUGCCAAAGAUAUACACCAAAUUAGAUGGAAACACAAAAUUGGUGGGGCUAGCCAGCCAGCCAUCAUUCUAGAGGCGGUCUAGCGGUUCACUACUAAUUAACAUUGCCAACAUUCAUUUCUUUUUGUAUUUCAUUUAGUUAAGCUUCCAACAUGGGAUUUUAACAUUCUCCAGCCCCAAUAGCAUCAAUCAACACAACACCACAAACCCAAAACUGUGCAUAAAAGAACAGAAAUCAAUGACUGAUUACAAAUUUACAUGAGGGUAGUAAAAGCUAAUAAUGCAGGUUGAUUUCCACAUUGUUAGCAUGAUAAAUAUUGUCAUUACACACUUGUGCACCAAUUAAGGCAGGAUAUUAUGUCUUUCUUGUAUCAUCCACUCUCUUACUAGUCCUCGUUUUUUUGCGCAAUGCAGUUACAAAUUAACAUUGCCAAGCAAUAAAUUGAUAAAAAGGAAGGGGGAAGAUACAACCAAGCCACCUAUAGACCAACCAAGUAAAACCAGAUGCAAACAAAUAUACAAUUAAGCAAACUUCAAAAGAUACAAUAGCAAAAAACCAAACACAUAUAACCAGAAUCUAAGAACAUUUUAAUGACAAAAAAGAAAACUGACCUUUUGCCUGGAGGCAAUGAGAAAAUAUAGAGAAGCAGACCAACUAUUUGAAAAGGUAAAAACAAAAGACUGAAAUCAAACAAUGAUAUAUCGAUCUCCAAAAUAAAUGUACAAUAUCUUUCAAAUUUGAUGAUAAAUUUACAUGCAAUAAAUCGCAUUAUCACUCGUACAACUAAUGUACUUCCUAUAUUAGACCACACAACACAUGCCCAAUAAUCACUUCAUUGGUGCUCUGCCUCAUUUGCAAAUGUAGUUUUAUCUCCACUGAGUUUCUACAUGCAUGGGAACAUAUGUUUUUCUUGUUAAUUUGAAUAGAUUAUAAACUGUUUAACGAAUUCCUGGAAUUCAUAUCUGUAAUAUCAAACUAUAUCAGUUGGAUUUUAAUGGUAAGUAAAAUAGUUGUAUAAUGAACAAUGAAAGAAGGAAGCCAAAUAAUGACGAUGAAAGAAGGAAUCCAAAUAAUGACAAUGAAAGAAGGAAGCCAAAUAAUGACAAUGAAAAGAAGAGAAUUCAAACACAUUGAGAAUAUUAGUUUUAGAUUUUGAGAACAGAUUUAUUCCAUUACCGUUUACCUUUCCUCUCUUUUAGCAACAGACAAUAGUCAUUAAAUUUCUUCUCAUGGCAUGUGUGAUGUGAGCUUGGCGAAGCCACGUUACCCUAAUUUCUUUUCUUUUUUUUGAAAAAAAUUAUACAAGUGGUACGGUUUCAACUGUACAUGUUUAACCUUGGUGUUUUUCAAUUUCAGUUUUACCUUUAUCAUCCAUUAAUUUUCCUAUCCAAAAUGUUUUGAAAAAUAAAUCUAUAGCUGCUAACGGUCUAUAUGCUUCAUGCUGUCAAACUCUGUAAUCUAAAAAUUCAUGUAAAUGCAGAGGUUUAGCUAAAGGACAGGCAUCGAAGAAAUCCAGAAAUCCUUCCAUGGCAAACUUAGUUGUACACCCAUGGCGUGUGUGUUGUAUGUUAGAUGCCCCCUCUCUUUUAACAACACACAAUAGCUUAUGCAAAUGCAAAGAGACUUCAACAUGUUUCAUUUAAAAUAAGUUUACAUUUUGUAGCAAAUGCAUAUGGCGAAAUAGUCUAUAAGUAAUCAUACUGGCAACCAAACAGAACAGUUCAAAAACUUCAAUGGAAAUAUAAAUUGCAGAAAAAAAACUUGAAUUUCCAAACCCACAAAAUAAAAAAUUCAACCAGGUUAAAUGUAAGAAGAAAUACCAAGAAUUGAGAGCUGCAGACAAUCAAAAUGCUCAUGAUCUUGGUCGUGCUGAUGAAAUCCAAAUCUGUACUUUCAUGUCCUCCUCCUCGGUCAAUUCCUUGAGAAGCUUCGAUAUUGCCAACAAUGUCUCCUCUUUGUGGCCGUGGCCGUGGUCGUGCCAACUGCCAUGGAUCUCUCUCCUUCUAACCAGACACCACUUCAACCCUUUCUCCUUUCAAACUUACCUUUAGAAAAUAGAAUAUGAAACAUUGUACGUAGAAAGCAAGGAAUCGAUAAUUUAGGAGGUUUCCCAGGACAAUAAUGAGCUUUUAAAUAUCAUAUUCCCAUACGGAUGCACAAAUACAGAGAGACACUACAGACCAUUUGAUGAAAAAAAAUAGAGAUGCUGAGACUCAACAGACACUAUUCAUAGAUCCAUGACUUAGAAUUUCUCAGAUCCGGUUGAAAUUAAUAAAUAAAAAAUUAGGGAUGUGAAUUUAUACCUCUGAUAGUCUGAGCUCCGUUCUCCUGAUUCCUUUGCCGGCUUGGGGCAAACCUGAGGAGAUUGGCGAUUAGGGGAUACGAAUUCAAAAUAAAAAUUCUAGUAGUCAUCGUCACUGCUGCAGUAGUCAUCGUCCUCGGAUUCCAUCGUUGUCCGACCACAAAAACCUAACAGCGGCCGGAGAACCACAGAACCAAGAGUAAAAAAAUGAGUGCGGGAGAGAGAAGCAGCCAAAAUACAGAGAAGAUGGCAAGAGAGAGGAGAAAUGGAAAGCAGACAAACAAAAAGCAACAUGGGUGCUAGCCAAUUUCCCAAACCCCACUUCUGCUAAAGCUACAUGCUAUUGAUUAUGAUUAAAAACUAAAUUAAUCAUAUCAUUAAUUCGCCCAUGAGCGGUAGGUCUCGGGUUCGAGACUUGGGAGCAGCCUCUCCAUAAAUGGGGGUAAAGCUAGCCGACAUUCACCUCUCCCAGACCCUGCGUAAAGCGGGAGCCUUGUGCACUGGGUACGACCUUUAUUAAUUGCUAAUAAAUAAUGGGUUAUGUUUGUUUUCAUGAAUUCAGGCUCAAAAUACGAAUUGUAAAUCCAAAUUUUGAAAUUUAAUUGCUUUAUCUCCUUACCCGAUAAAGCCAGACGAUUACUGAUCACUAAGCGUCCAAUUCUUGAAAACUACCGAAAUCAAAACAACAACUUCCACUCAAUUUCUCAGCAACAGAAAUAUCAAGCCAAAUCAAAACCAAAAACUUUCAACUAAAUUGCACAAAAGAGUCAAAAUUUAAUUGCUGUACAGAACUAUUGGUUCAAUCGAAAACAAUUAGAAUUCGAGACCCUACCUCCUCCAUUCUCUGAGAGCGAAGCCCUCCUCAGGCAGCAUCUCCGAUGGAGCCGGCAAAAUCGGAUCGUCGGACCCGCCAAACCCUCCAUCAAAGCCCUGGCCGUUCGAUUCAGCGUAGUAGAUCAACGGAGGAGAGAAGGCCUCCGAUGCCGGCUGAGUGGCGAAAGAGUUGUCUACAGCGGAGCCGUGGAAGAUUGGGGAAUCGGUGGCAGAGUCCUUGAGCAACUCGGAGUCGACAAAGGAGUCGAACCGGAGGAGAGUUGGGGGUCGUAGCCCAGGUAACCGUCGUGCAGGUGUGUUGAGGGUUCUUGAGUUAAUUGAAACAUUAAACGUGCAACUGCUUUACAAACCUGAGGAUCAGUAACUGGUCAAACAUGAGCUUGUACUGGCGAAAGCCAUAAUGGAAAAUCCCUGGCAUAAUGCUCUAUAAGGACCCCAAAAAAUCGCUUCAAUGACCCAAUAACAGCUCUAUGAAUCAUGAUAGGCCGCCUCUUUUCAGAGUUUGAGUCAGCAUAUGUUAAGUCAAAACGCUGUGGUAGGUUAAAUCAACCUGUACAAUUUGGGAAAUACAAAAGAUCAAACAAUUUAAAAUAACAAUAAUAAGUGGCUUUAGUCUAUCAAACAAAUCCAUGUAAUUCGCUCAAUUCAAAAAAGAUGCUCAAAUCUCCAAUGAACAUUUUACAAAGUGAUACAGAGAUAGACGGAGAGACUACAAAUUAAAAAACAAAGCACACACUAGAAUUAUCCCGUCAUGAGUUCAGGAUUAACCUGUAUAGUUGAGCACUGCCACUUCCUUCCAAGGGCAUCCUCAACUUAAGAUCAAUCUUUGGACCAUAAAAGGCACCACCACCUUCAUCAAUUUGAUAGCUCCAACCUUUAUUAUCCAAAGCAUCUCUAAGGGCAGAUGUUGCUUUCACGGUUUCACCCAUACAUAUAUCAUCAUCUCCAACAGCUUUCUCUGGCCUCAUAGAGAGAUUGACCUCAUAUUUGCUGAAGCCGAAUUGCAACAAAAGUUCUUCGGUAAGAUCUAGGACACCCCUAAUUUCAUCUUUGAUCUGAUCUCUAGACAAAAUAUGUGGGCAUCAUCCUGCAACAGGUCCCGAGGUUAAACAAAAAAAAAACACUUCAUACACCUAGGAUUAUAGACUAACAGUUUGCAAAUACUAACACCAUACCUGAGUAAAACCUCUUACACGAAAAAGACCAUGCAAGCUUCCAGAUAAUUCGUAUCUAUAUACGGCUCCCAACUCAGCAACUCGAAUAGGAAAUUCAUGAUAUGAUAGGGCAGUUCAUCGGUCAAAGCUGAUAAAGUUCAUCCUCAACAUUCAUUUGAUCAUACAUAUUCUCAUUGUAGUAAUCCAGAUGACCACUUAUCUGCCAAAGGUUCGCCUUUGCAACAUGUGGAGUAUACAGCAGAUCGUAACCACGUUCUAUGUGGAUCUUUUUCCACAAAUCUUCCAUUACAUGCCUCACAAUAGCACCCUUUGGAUGCCAGACACUAAACCCCCACCAGCAUCAU